rnacentral:lncRNA from 1 species
CAGUUGGUGCAUGUAUAGUGAGUUGUACACGGGGCCCAUACUACUUGACUUCCUGUGUCCACCAGGAAGGGGAGUUUUUGUGGAGGAGUGCCGAAGCUGAGAGGGAUGCUGUGACCUCCAUAACUAUGAGGAAAAAGAGAAAUUUGUGUGAGAGGGCUGGCCUUCCCAUGUUUCAAUUGAUGGGCUCUGGACAAGGAUGAAAUGCAAGGUGUUGGAGAAAUAGCAAGGGUUCGAUAGAUGGCUUGUUUGUAAAUGUUGAUGUUAGAGGGAUGGUAAUGGUGGCAGGUGUGUUAUCUUUGGAGGAAGAUGCCAAGAAAAGGAAAGAGAAGAAAGUAAAGACAGAGAAAAGCAAAGAAGUAGAAGAAGCCAUGGCUGUGUAGUUUCAGACGCACACACCAUGGGAAGUGGUAGAGAGAGUAUUUAUAUAGACAAUGACAUGCAUGGUUUAUAUGUAGUUAUUCUAAAAUCCAUUGUCAAUUUUCUUCAUUUUGCAGUAUGAUAUGGAUUUGAUUGAGCAAAGAUUUUAUUGCCUCUUCCUGACGAAGACAGCCACGACAGCCGCGGUUACCUACAAAAGCAUUCCAGCUGGCGUGAAUUGCAAUUAUCAACAGAAUAUUUGUCUUUUUCCUUUUAUUAGGUUUCUUUCUUCAAUCUUUUUAAACACCAUGUCUUUUGUGUGUGGUGGGGAGGGGUCACAGCUUCAAAUAAUGUAGUUUACUGUUCCUUUUGUGGCUGGAUAUGUUUUCUUUGUGAGGAGACUGGUUGGUACGUCAACUCCCCUUUAACCUAAUGGAAAAAUAAAAAAUAAAAAAUCAAAGAGUUAGAUUUCAACAGAACAUUUACAAAAAAGUAAAAUAAAACAUCAAUAUUGAGAAAGUGAUAAAUUUGUAAUAGAUAAUUUACAUCUAAAAAUUGUUAUUAAUUAAUUGAGAAUUAGGAAUAAUUUUUUUUCCACUUUGAUGUGAAGUACACCCUAAACCAUAUAAGAAUGGACAAAUUAUUUGAUAAAAGUUAAAAUAAUUAUAAAGAUCGAUAAAAUCAAAGAAAAAUAAGUUUUUAUCUACUUCACAAAUAAUAUAAAUGCACCGUCGAUGUUAUUAAAUUUAUUAAAAAUUUAAAAAUAAAUCUCAUACUAAAAACAUAACUAAUCCUUCAGAACUUAAAGAUUUCCUACCCUUCUUAAUAGUUUUAUUGCUUUUGAAUUUUAAUAUUAUAUAAUGAAUAUUGGAAAAUUGAAUAACAAGUUGUAAAUUUAUUUUAUUUUUUUAAUUUCUUUAAGCAAAUAUUUUUUUAAGACUUAUAAUCUCUGUUUAUUUCUCAGUUUUAUUAAUUUAUGUUGCAUUUUUUUGAAAAAAAAAAAAUCUAUAUUUUCAUAAUUAUAGCACCGACAAAGAAUAUCAAAUAAAUUUGUACCUACCUAAGUGUUUUUAUAAUUUGCUUCCAAAAGUAGUAAUCAUACUUUACAUUUGACAUUGAUAGUUUCAAUCACAUAAUCUAGUUUUAGUUGUUUAAUCUAAAAAUGUUUUCCAACAUUUGGGUCAUUGAAUCAAAAAAUAUAUGGCAUGGGCACUACCAAUAUGAUAUAGACCACCACCAAUGUUUUAUUACAUAGGAUACCACUGGGACCACAUGUGUUCACCUCCACCAAAAUUGGUUUAUUAUCUAAGACUAUAAAGAAGUGGAGGAAGAGAAUAUUCUGAUUUGGUCACCUCAUAAAAAGUUGAUUGAAGUAGAAAAUCUGAAGAAAAUUUGAAGGCAGUCCACAUUUUUUCGGCACCAAGUAUUCAUUUUGUGGAUAAAAGAAAUUAACAAAUUUUAAAUUUAGAAAAAAUAACAGGCCUAUACCUACCUCUUAGUAGUGCCUUAAAUUUAAACUAUAAUUUAAAUAUUUUCUAUUAAUUUUAUUGUUGAAAAUGUAAAUAGACCAAAAAUUCUAGCUUUGUGAUUAUGUUAAAUUACCAAUUUUCCUAAUAAAUAUGUAAACUAUAAAGAGAUGGUCAAAAGACUUCCAACCCAUACCCAUAAGUAGAGAAAUAAAUAUAUAAAUUAUAGAUAGGAGGCUUGAAUACAACUUAAUAGCAUAUUGAAUUAUCAAUUUUCCUAAAAUAUUAAUCAUUUAGGAUUUGAGUUUAUAAUAUAUACCAUGCUUUUAACUUUUAUAAACUUGUGUGUGAUCAUAGAAUGAAAUAUCUACAUGUGAGUGACUUUUAUUUUUUUUUAACCAAAAUAUUGCUUAUCAAUUUAUUACAUUAUAAUUACUCUUUUGGUUCCAAAGAAGUCUCCUUGGUUGUGAUAAUCUUAAUAUCUAACUCCAUUUUUCCCUAAUUAAAGUACACAUCAAACUUGUGAGGGAAGAGUGCAGUCUCUAUGAGAGGGCUGCUCUUGCGGCCGUAUUUGAAGUGAUGAACUCUGGUUAAUGGCCUAAAGGCGAGGUUAUGGUUCAGUUCUGAAGAUGGUUCGUGGGUGAAUAAUGGUGUCAGAGGGAUACUAAUGGUGGAGGGGCCGGUUUCUCUUCUUUGGAUGAAGAUGAUAAGCAAAGGAGAGAGAAGAGAGUAAAAAACAUGACAAAGCCAAGAAGAAGAAGCAAUAGCUCUGACCUUUUGUUGCCUGAUAAUUAAAGUCCCACUAACAAAAGCUAGCACAAGGGAAUCACCAUCCCCACUUUCUGUGGACGCAGUACUACCUCACGAAUCACAAUAUGAUAUCCACCUUCCCACAUUUUUUUGUAUCAAUAUUGACGUCAGCUUCAUGUCAUGUUGAAGAUGCAACAAAGUUUAUAUAUGGUUAUAGCUGCUAAGCAUGCUUGGCAAGCUUUAGCCCUAUUUGCCAAUGAGCCUUCAGACAGAGAGAUGGGCGCACGUCAAAAUAGGCUACAGAUUUUCAAUUCUUUUAGCCAUGCAUUUCAGAACCGUGCAGAUUGCGGUAGACAACAUUAGCCAUCAGUUUCCCAUAUAAAUGGAUGUCAUCCUCACAUCAAUUCUUCUUGUUCUUUGUGAUUCCCACUAUUAGAACAACAUGGCAUGAGUAUUCCUACAACUGAUCAAUAUGAAUGGACAAUGGAAUUUUGAAUAAUGAUAAGAGAUGUUCAGGUGCGGUCCCAACUAGACUAGUAAUGCUUGUAUGAGUGUAAACCAUUUGGGUCUCGACGUCUACUCACUACCUCACGUGGAUCACGAUUGUUGAAAUGCAUAUUUUUUGUGAGCUUCAUGUUUGGGGUUAGCCCUUUUAGUUAUUUUUUAAUUGAAGUCAUUUUAAAAAUAAUAUUAAGAUAAAUUCUAAAAGUGUAAAGUUGUUUCUUUAAUAUAGAUCACAUUAAACUCUAAUAUUUUAAAAAAAUAUGUUGUAUAUUUCUAGCACUACACGUCACGACAUAAUUUGCAACCCCCGGGACCCAGCAUUGGAUAUAUGGGGAAAGAACAACAUUACAUUGACCCCACAUCUCACUUCCAGUGGCUCACAAGCCGCCACCUAUCUUCCUUUCGAUGUGGAUCUCCUUCUGCCCUACAAAGAAUAUUGGAAUUUGAAAAGCACCCAAAGUCAUUUAAAAAAAUAUUUCUAAAUCUACAAUAUUUUGAGUUAAUCUAAUUGAAAGUUGUUUUUUAGAAAAACAAUUUUAGUAAAAUUUUAAAGUUAAUUUUUGAAAAAAUAAUUUUCUUAUUGACACUGAAAUUAUCUUUUUGAAAAGGUAACUAAAAUAUCCUAAAUCUGAAAAUAAUUUUUAAAUGUCAUACUUUAAUAAAUAUUUUUUUAGAGAAAAAUAAUAUUUUUGUUAAACAAUAUAUACAAUAAGCUACCUCAUGUGUCAGAAAUGAUCCCUAAAACAAAUGCCACAUGCUGCUCGGGAUGAGCGGAGGAAACAUGGCAUCGCGGAGGAUCACAGCUCCCCGCUCCUUAUGUUGCGGACAAAGCCAAAGCGAUUGAUUAUAGAGGCAACGUAGUGGUUUAGUAGAGGAGCGACCACUACCAAAAGUAGAAAUGUGAAUAUCUGAUGCAACGCCUCCCUCUUAUCCCUCUAGUGCUGCCCUUCUCACAUCAAGUAUUUUCGUUCCUGGGCCAUCCAUUUUCCAUAUCGGAAUAAUAACCUGUUGUAGACCCCCAUUUGGGGCUCAUUCCUUUGCAUCUCUGCAGGGUAUGAUUCUUUGCAGGUGGAGGGCUCCCAAGGAGCCACGUGUCGCCUCGCGGUUGGUGGCCAUAGAAACAGAUGGUGGAAUUGAGGAGCGAGUGAGAGUUUGACAUGUGGCAUGGAGAUAUUCUGGCCGUUAGUGAGGAGCGUAUAUUUUCUGUUAGAGGGGAUUUUUGCAGAGGGGGGUCGGCUGGCCAGAGGUAGGGUGCUUUUCAGAAGCUGCUGCAGGGUAGUGGUGGUCGGGGAGCGUCUCCUGGAGGUUUAGAGGCUGUAGAGAACUAGGGUCUCCGGGGGGGGCUGGUAAAAGAGGAGAGAAGAACAGAGGUGUAAAAGAGGGAAAAGCUAAGAAAAACAGAGGAAAAGCCAGGGAGGAACAGAGAGAGAUUUUUGGGAGAGGAAGGAUUCGAGAGUGUGUUUUUCCAGGAGAGUGAGAAGGAGAGGUGAUGUUUGGGCGCUGCUGGAUUUUACAGAGGUAUCUUUAGAGAGGAUUCCUUGGCUUAAAAGGGGUUUUCCUUGCAGGAGACAAAGGAUGAAUGCGAUUUUGAGCAAAUUUCGGCAUUGGCGACAUGAAUGGGCUUAUAUAGCUGUCAAUAUUCAAGAGUUCUUGACGUUGGUGGGGUUUUUGAGGUCAAGCUACAGAUCUGAUUUGAAUGAUAAACGCAAAUGAGAGUUUGUUCCAUUGAGACUUGGUAUCCAUGCUGUCUAAACAUUGAAUCAGAAAUGGGCAGAGAGAUUAUUUUGAAAGAAAUAGAUUAAGGAGAAGGAUUCUAGUGAGGGUCCCCAUACCAUGUCUUGAUACCGGUUCAUGCAUAUCAUUAUUUAUCAUACCAGUGGCAAAUGUCAAUAUCCCAGAGGAAGAAGAGAGUACACUGAUUGAAGAAAUGUUGGUUCUUAAGGGAAUGAAAGACCCACUCUCGCUCUUGUAUUCUUUUGGCUAGACGAAUCCACUAGUAAACUGGUGGAUGAUGAAGACAGAUUGAUGGUUGAGAACCAUACCUCCAGUGUGGGCGCAUGCGAAUCUUGCCCGCUGCUGUUAGUGCGUUCCAGAUCCGGAAAGUCUUCAUAAAGGCCCCGCAUGGAUUUUAUGAGUUUAUGGAUGUACCCUUGCAGCUACAGCAUGUGCUUGCCCUACAUCUAGAGGAGCAUCCAGGGUCGAUUUCAGAUGGAUCCUUAGAGCACAAUCUAGAAGUAACUAUCGCAAAGGAUACAUGCACACAUCCUGGCGCUUUUAGAGAAUUGCAUAUACGUUGUGGGCAGCCAAAUGGUGCAAGGGCCCCAUCCUCUCAAGUGGUCAAAAACUGAAGAUGCCACGUAUUCCCGGAUCAUCAGAAGCUCCUAAGACGAACUGAAUGAUCUAGAGGAGGCUAUUCAACCUGAUUUAACUGGAAAUAAAUCAUCAAAGGAAUCAACUCGAGAUGGUCAUGCGUAGAAUGCAAAGAAUAGACAGAUCAGAUCCUCAAGGCGACCGUGGUCAUUCGUGGUGGCGUUCUGGCACAGAAUAGGAAUACCAGAUUGCAUUAUUUUGGGAGAUAGUAAAUGGUACAAAGGCUGUUCAUCCCAUCUGGAGGCGAAAGUAUUAAAAAAGGCAUGCAAAUUAUUCAAUGGCUGAGAAAGCGGCAGGUUCAAUAGCAGAGGAUAUGAUCGUCACCUACAUAAGGAAGUCAAAUGGGCCAAAGGGAAAUUUGAGGCAACUGGUCAUUCAAACAGUGCAUUCAUAAAAAUCACACCUGUGAGGGACCUCAGUUGCGAGCAUGUUUAGAAUCCUUUCCAGAAACUGUGUGAUCAUUUAAUGUGAUUUAUACCCAAGAUUUGCCUCUGGACUUUCAUGACGGAGAUAUCAUAGCGCCACGGGUUUUAGAUUAGCUGCCAAUGGCUAGUUGGAGGAGUAUAGGAUUACUUUUAAAGUCCUCAGGGGACUUGAAGAAUUUCCGAGAUUCGCAUGCAACCGUGGCUGUUGACUCACCUGAAAUCACAGCUGUUCAGUCUUCUCAAUGGAUCUCCAAGCCACGAGUUCAAGGUUAGGAGACAAAUAAAGUCAUCGUUUUCACUGAAGUUGGUGUUCAUUUGGCAUCUGAGGACAUAGCUUAAACAAUUGGGAAAUCCAUCGUCAGCAACUGUUUUGGGAAUGGAGACUGAGACCUCACCCAGAUCCCCAGGGGAUGUGACUAUACUGACUCGUUUGCACUCCAGACCCGUUCCCUCUCUCUAGCAUGGCAUGCAUGGCCACCUUUGGGCCACGUGUUCUCUCUUCUUAUUUCCUUAUUCUUUGAUUUUUGAAAUUAACUACCCCAAAUCUCAUGUGAUAAAUUCUUUUACGUUUUGGUUUUCAAAUAGUCUCAAUUAUCCCAUCCUUCUUCCUUAGCAUUUUUCUUUAAGUUUCAAAACCCCAUUUUCAAUAAAACGUUGCUGCCAUUUUUCUUCGGCAUGCAAUUUUGACAACUUCCAUGAUUUUAAAACGUUUUGAAAUAAACAUGAAUUCAAUUUUGUAAUUCCAAUUAAUGGAACUUAUGAAAUUAAUUCAUGCAAAAUAAACGGGCUUUGGUGGGGGGCCCGACAUAUGUGACUUCAUGAUUGACUGACUGAUUGAUUGAUUUGACUGCCAUGCAUAAUUGAUUUAUUCUGAUCCGUGACAUGCAUGAGAUUAUUUCUUAACUGUGCUCUAACCCUAUUUCUUGAUAGCGCAUGGCGGCUCGUCACCUAGGUACGUGUCCAGUCCCAUUCUUGUAAUUCUCUAUGCAAGUACUGAUUCUCAUAUGUGCGAUCAUGAUGAGUAUUCAAUGAUUUCAUCAUCAAUGCCACGUCAGCCUCAUCUUANNNNNNNNNNNNNNNNNNNNNNNNNNNNNNNNNNNNNNNNNNNNNNNNNNNNNNNNNNNNNNNNNNNNNNNNNNNNNNNNNNNNNNNNNNNNNNNNNNNNCAUGCAAAAUAAACGGGCUUUGGUGGGGGGCCCGACAUAUGUGACUUCAUGAUUGACUGACUGAUUGAUUGAUUUGACUGCCAUGCAUAAUUGAUUUAUUCUGAUCCGUGACAUGCAUGAGAUUAUUUCUUAACUGUGCUCUAACCCUAUUUCUUGAUAGCGCAUGGCGGCUCGUCACCUAGGUACGUGUCCACUCCCAUUCUUGUAAUUCUCUAUGCAUGUACUGAUUCUCAUAUGUGCGAUCAUGCUGAGUAUUCAUUGAUUUCCUCAUCAUUGCCACGUCAGCUUCAUCUUAUUAGUAGAGACCCGACUUUAGGGACUUAGAAGGGUGCUACGGUCUUUACCGUACCUUCCCGAUAAGUAACCUGACCCCCGAACCCGAUCCGGUUUUCAUAGACCGCCUUUUUUAAAAUAUGGAGUCACACUUAGGGUUUUUCUUUCUUAUUUUGUUUACCCUUUAAAAAUAAAACAAAAAUAAGUGGCGACUCCAAGUCAUUUUCAAAUAAUCAAUAAAAAUCAAUUUUUCAAAUAAUAAAAAUCGAGCUCGCCAUCGAGUGGGAAACGCAUUGAGCCGAAAAUGCGGGGUCCACACCUGUCAAUUCAUAAAGUUGCCUACUUUUUCUCUCCUGCCUCCUGGACAUUCUAACCUCAACUAGAAAGUUGGAUUUUAUUUGUGGCUUUUUUUAUUUUUUAAAUUUGGAGUCAUUAUUGGAGUAAGAUGUCCAAGUUAGAUGGUCUUGUCAUUAUAUUUAUGUAUGUUACCUUACAGGUACUUGGAAUCUACACCACUUUAUGUCCUAAAAUUUUGUGCCCUAAAAAGUUUUAGCAUAUACCAUAUUUGCAUACCAAUUAAAUAUCAUGUCGUUUUGCACAUACAAGACUUUAUUGAUCAACUCCGACCUCCAACUCAUGUAAACAUGGAUAGAUCCAUCCAACCAAUCGACAAGGUAGAAAAUUUUAUUAUAAGGGUAAAACAGAAAAAUCAUAAAUCAUAAUAAUAUUAAAUAUAAUUUCAGAUUUUAGUAUCAUUCAAUAAAACAAGUAUAUUUAUUAAUAUCAAUUUAUAUAAUUUUUUAUAAUAUAUCAAAUUAAAUAACAUAAACAAAUAAACUUUUGAUAUUAUGGUGAUUAUUCCAUCAUUAAGUUAAGCCAUAGGAUCAAAUCAUCAAACUUUGACAUAUAAAAUGUUGUCAUAAAUCUAGUUAGGCCACAAAUUUCUUUUACAUUUGUUUUUCAAGAUUACUAAUAAAUUUUUAAAAAUAAAAAACAUUUCUUUCUUUUUCCUCUUUUAUCAUGUUAAUAAAGAAAAAAAAUAUUUUCAAUUCAAUUUCUCCUCUUAUUGUAACAAAGGGAAAUAAAAUUUAUUAUUUUAUUAAUAUUUAAUUUCAGAUAUGAGAAUAUUAGUGAGCUUUGAGUAUUAUAUGAAAUUUCAAAUAUAUUGUGAAUCCAAGAAUUAAAAUUGAAUUAUUGUAAUUUUCAAUCAAAAUUCAUUAUAACUUACUAGUUCACUAAUCUUAGAGAUGAAUGGGACUUUCUAUGCAUAUGUAUUUACAUGUAAAAAGAGUUACAUCAUCUUUUAUCAAUGUGGAUGCAGCUGCCUAAUUUUAAAAUUCAAUGGGUUGUCAUUAUCACAUCAAUUAUUCUUCUUUCUCAUGCACCCCACAAAACAAGAAACAAUAUAAUUUGCCUCAAGAAACAACAUAUUUGAAAUUAUAUGGAAUUUAAAAUAUAUUGUGAAUCCAAUAAUUAAAAUUGAAUUAUUAUAAUUUCCAAUCAAAAUUCAUUAUAUUCACUACUUCGCUAAUCUUAGGAACGAAUAAGACAUUUCAUGCAUAUGUACUUACAUAUAAAAAGAGUUGUAUCAUCCUCCACAUGUGUGUGGAUGCGAUUGCCUAAUCUCCACAUAAUUUUUAAAUUCUUGUUAUUGUCACAUCAAUUAUUCUUCCUUUUCAUGCACUUACAAAGCAACAAAUAUCAUAAUUUGCCUUCGUCCACCUACUCACUGAAGUGCAACUUUUUUUUUUUCCUUUUUAUUUUUGUGUGCUUUAUUUCGUACAAAGGGCAAAAAUAUCAUGAUGAGGACGAAAAUAUUGUGUCCAAAAUGGCUUAGAGGGAAAAAAAUCAUUGAAUUAGGCCCAACUUGCGUAUUAAAUAAUACCUUAAGUUUUACAAUCUCUCAAAGUUUCCAUAUAUGAUUGAGUUCUUAUUUAUAUAAAAUGUAAAAAUCUCAUAUAUGAUAAGCAAUCAACUUAUUAUAUAUUAUAUAUGUGAUUAUAAUUGUUUAUAUAUAUAAUUAUUAUAUGAAUAUUUUUAUAUAUUAUAAUAUAUUUUAUAAAUUAAUAAAAAUAAAAUUAUUAUAAAUUAAUUAAUUUUAAAUAAUAAAAAAAUUGUAUCAAAAUAUUUAUCAAUAUUUUUAUGAUAUAUUCGAUAUAUCUAUAAAAUUCAAGUAUUAUAUAUAUAUGUGGUUAUUAAUAUUUUCAUCAUUAGUUUUAGCUUAUCCUAGUGCCUUAAAUAGGAUGCUUGAUUUUAUUUGUUUUUCAAUUCAACAAUGAAAUAAAAAUAAAAAUAUAAAAGAAUUCAAGUUCUUUUUUAAAAUAAAAAAUUUAAAUAUAAUAAAGAUUACUCAAAAUUAUGAUUAUAUUUAGGAAAUGUUUUUAAAAAUAGUUCUAAAAAAAUAAUCUUUGAUAAUUAUUUUUUAAAAUUAUUUUAUGAUGUUUUUAUAAGAAAAGUUUGUUUGAGGAUAUUUGAAAUACUGUAAACUUAUCUUUUAUAUUUUUAAAACAAUAUUUAUAUGUAAUAAUUUAUUUAUUUAAUCAUUCUUUAUAUUUAUAUAAAUACUUAUUAAAAUCAUUACAAAAAUGUAAGUGAAAAUAAGUAAAAACAAGUAAAAUAUGUUAUAAAAAAACAUCUUAUUUUAUAUUUUUUAAAAUUGAAUUUUUUUUUCAUUUUUUGCUAUCAAAUGUAAUAUGUUUUCCUCUUUUUGGUACUUCAAAACAUAAAAUUAUUUUCGAAAACAAAACAUAUCCUCUACAUUUCAAAGUUUUCAAAUUUUUCCUAAAAGGAUAAAUUUGAAAAAGCAUAUACAAAAAUUUUAUUUAAUAUAAUCCUAUUUUUUAUAAUUUCCUUUCCACUUGUCAUUGUGGCUUCCAAUUUUAGUCACAAUUAUGAACUGUAAGAGGCAAUUGAAUUCAUGCACACGUACUAUUUUAUCCAACAUUAACUUUUAGAAAUAUUUGAUUAAAAUAAUGAAAUAAUACCAAUAUUUGGAAAAAUAAUUUUUAUAGUUGGACAUUGCUUCUUCAACUCAGCUGCCACCAUAUUAAAAACCGGUCUUGUCAUGCAUCCGAAGCCGAAACCUGAGCCAGAUACUUGUGUGGGAUCCUCAGGAGCUUCUCGCCGAUCAUGAUAUCUGUGACACAGUGACACCUAUGUAGUAAUACACAGGAAAUUAGUCAUCUGGGUUCUUGAGAAAGGGAGUGUAGCUAAGUCCUUCGGUUUCGCCAUCACGGUAAUCCAACAUCAACACGACAUUUUUCGGGGUUUCGUCGAAGUCGUGAGAAUUGAGACAGCAAGCGAACAGAGACGUAAGCAGAGUAUAUAUAGCAUCGAGUCAUUCCCAUCUCCUCCCCAUUCUUAUCAUUUUCUUAUUCAAUGAGUGUCAUUUGCACAUCCAUUCUUGUUGUUCUUAUACAACCCAUAAAACAUCAUCGUCAACGCAUUAUAUGACCCGCAUUAAAUGUAUAAUAUUUAUAAAUUGAAAAAUAUAUAUUUUUAAACUUUUAUAUUAAUUUUUACCCCCUUUUUUUUAUAGGAUUUUGCUAUUAAUGACUGUCACUUAUCAAUUUCCUUCAUAAACAACACAGCAUAAAAAAUCUUGUUAAUUUUAUAUAAAAUUACACCCCAUACAAUUAUAAGCCUAAUAAAUCCACAAAUCAUUUUUUUUUGUAUAAAUUUAUAUCACAUACAACUUUAAACCUAAUAAAUCAUCCAACGAUUUUAACAAGAAAAUAAAUUUACACAAUAACACAUUUACAUAAACCAAUAAAAAUAAAACUAAAUAAAAGUGAAAAAUAAAAUAUGUACCAAAACAAGCCUAUAAUAAACAUAAUGUUCCAUUUGAGUCUCAUUUUUAUUUGUGAGAUUGAACCUUCCACAUGUCAUGAAUGAACCAAUAAAAAUAAAAUUAAAUAAAAAUGGGAAAUAAAAUGUGUACCAAACAAACCUAUAAUAAGUCUAAUGUCCCAUUUACAACAUUUUUAAGUCUUAUUUUUUUUCAUGAAAUUUAACUUUCCACAUAUCAAGAAUGUGUGCUCAACCAAUCGAUAGGAGUAGUGGUGAAUAGUAUCACGCAAAACAAAAAUGAACCAAAAAGUAAAUAUCCAAAAAUGUAUAAAGCUUUUCAAUAAGCCCCAAAACAAACUUCAAAUCAAUCUAAUAAAUUUCAUUAAUAAAAUAGACCAAAUUAGCAAAUGUAGUACAACAAAUCUAUUUUUCAAAUUAAUAACCAAAAUAUAAGGACAAACCUAAAUAUAACAAAUCAAAAUAAAUCAAAUUAGAGCUAAAUUUAAUAUAGUAUAAUCCAAACUUAAUUUAAUAAGCAAACUCAAGUCCACUACUAAAACCAAACUCAAUUUAAUAUGCAAAGCCUAAAAUGACAUCUAAAUAUAUACCAUAAUUUUCUAAUAUCUAAAUUCAAUAAUUCAAAUGAGUAAAACUCAUAUCAAUUAUUGACUCAUGUAACAAAUUUCACCAACAAGAAAUGAGCUCAAAUUCCAUGUUAAUUAAUAAGUCCAAAAUAUAAAAAAUCAAAAUAAAUUCAAUUAGAACUAAAUUUAAUAUCUCAUAAAUAAUGCAAAAUAAACUAUUACUCAAGUAAUAAAAAAAAAAUUGCAAGCCAAAAAUCCAAACAUAAUAGUAAUGAAUAACAAUAAUAUAUAUAAACCAACCAUAAAUCCGAUCAAAGAUUCUAAUAGCACAAUAUCCAUAGAUAAAUCCAAAUUGAAUUACACAAACAUGCCCACAAUCAGAUACAAUUAAAGUAAAAGGAAAUUUAACCAUUUUUUAAGAACCUAUGAAUGACCUGAGUUGCUAGCCGGCAAUGGCGGCAGUGGCUGCUGGUAGUGAAGGGUGGUGGAUGGAGAGAGAAAAUGGGUAUGAUGAGAUGAGAGAAGAAAAAGGAAAGAAGAAAGAAAAGGGAAAUAAAUGAAAAAAAAAUGAGAAGGAAGGAAGAGAAGGGUGUUUGGAUGGAGAGAUAAUGAGGGAAAUGAAGAAAAGAAAGGGGAGUGACGGAUAGGGAGAGAAGAAAAUAAAGGAAAGGAAAAAAUGGAAGAAGAAAAGAAGAAAAAAAGAGAGAAAAAAAAAAGAGUGGGGGGAAGAGUCUUCUGGCCGUGGGAAUGGGAUGAGGGAGGAAGAAGAAGAGAAAGAAAAGAAAAGGGAGGAAAAUGGGGGAAAGAAGGAAGAAAAAAAAGAGGAAAAAUGAAAAAGAAAAUGGAGGAGAAGAAAGAGACGGGAGGGGAAUGUGCAGGAGGUUAGUUGUGGGAACGAGGGGUACGGACAAGAGAGGGAAAUGAGGGAGUGACUGGGUGGAGUAAGCGGGAAAAAAGGGAAAGGAAGACGAAUAUAAAAUAAAAUAAAUAAUAAUAAUAAUAAUUUAAAAUAUAUAAAUGGAUUGAAACAUUCAUAUGUAAUUGGGUUUGAAUUUUAAGAAUAAAAUUAAAUUUAUAAUUAAUAUAAAAAUAAAUUCAAAACAAAUUUUAAGAUUUAUAGACUUCUUAUUUUAAAAAUAUUAAUGUGUAAAAUUGUUAUAUAUGUAAUAUCGAUAAAUAAGAAACUCAAAAUAUGAUAAAAUAAUAAAUAAAGCAUUAUACUUUAUUUCCAAACAUAUCAUUUUUUUUUUCAAUUUUUCUAUUAAUGCAUAUUGAAUAAUACUAACUGUUACGACAUUUAAAGUAUAUAUUGAUAUAAAAAGUAAUCCCAUUUUUUCUUUUAUACCAACUUCUAUAUAAUGAAACUUCUUGCCAUAAACAGAAUUUGCUUUGUUUUGAUAACGGAUUUUACUUUUUUUAUUUUAAGUCAUAUCUCUAUCUACCCGGAAUCAAGUUUGACCUCAUGGGAUUGAAGUAAAAAAAUUACAAACUUGCAAUAAUAAUACUUCAUAUUUUAGAAAUAAUACUCCCACUAUCAUUCAAUAAAAUAAAUAAUUAUUAUUAACAUUAAUUUAUAUAAAAGAAAUAAAAAUUUUAUAACGUACCAAAUUAAAUAAUAAAAAUACUAAUAAAAAUGUUUUUGAUUUUAAGGUUACUCUAUAACAUGUUUCAAGUAUCAAAUAAAUAUUUGUUUUAUAAAAUAUUAAAUAAUAAUUUUUAAAAGCUAUUUUCAAAUAUUGUUUUAAAAAAUAGUUACUAAAUAAGAUUUAAAUAUCUCAUUUAAAAAUGUGAUUUCCAAUUCCAAAAGUAUCAUAGUGGAAAUUCCUUACUUAACGUCAACGAAUAAGAAAGUAAAAUUAUAAAUAAAAAACAUUAUAUUUUCUAAACAUUUCAAAAUUUCCCAUUUUAUUAUUAAUACAGAUUGCAUUUGUAACAACUACAAUAAUAUCAAAUGAAGUAUAAGUGGUACUUGACAGAAAAAUUUAUUGUUAUGUAACACUAAGGAUCAUAAAGCAUAAAUAAACUUUUAAAACAAAAAUCCUUUUGAAUUAUAAAUAUUAGACAUAUGUGAUAAUAAUAAUUUUAUUUUCUAUUUUUUCAAAAAAAGAAAAGAAAAAUAAGGACAUAUGUGAUAAUUAUAAUUCUAUUUUCCAUUUUUUUUAAAAAGGAAAAUAAGAACUUUUUACUAAUUAAUUAUAAUAAUAAGUAGAUUUUUUUAAUGAUUUCUCAAUAUCCGUCUAUGAGUUGCAAUUACUUUUUAAUAAUUGCAUACGAGACUCUAAUUUUAUUAGUUUAGUAUACAUGAAUACGAGGGACAAACGAGUGUAAUUUCCCAUUUUAAUUUAUUUUUUUAAAAUCCUGAGGAUAAUUUUAUUUUUUUUUAAAUACAUUUUAAAUUUUUUUCUACUAAAAUUUGGGAAAGAGAAAAGUAAAAAUAUGUCAUGAACAUGAUUUAAAAAAAUUAAUUUAUAAUUUUUUAAUUAUAAAGACAAAAAUGCCAUCAAAAGCGACUAAAUUUAUAUUUAGUACACUUCUUUUAUUCAGACUGGAGAGCUUAAACACAGCCUUUCCAGUGGUCCAACAAUGAAGGCAGGUACGUAGUUAAGGGUGGGCGGUAUUCUCCCAACUGCCAUCGGACUGGUACACUACUUAACAAUACACGCUCCUCCUAGGUUGCUAUUAUCAACUAUUUCUGCCCAGCACAAAUCUUUAGCCAGUGGCAGUGAUGUCAUCGACUAGCAAGUUUGUUGUCGGAAACCAAGACGCUCAUUUUUUUAGGUCAAACUCCACAUAAUAAUCCACGUGCUGAUAAUUCCCCAGAAUAAUAGACGGUCCCGGAGUGAAUUCCAAGGUGCUGGUGCCUGCAUCAGUGACGACAGGGAAACAAGCCAAGCUUAUCUCAGGAAUAAACACAAAAUAAUUCUUUCCUGGCACCACCAUAUUUGCGCCACCUCUAAAUUGGUAAAUUAAGUCGGGGAUUUUUAUGGAUUUGUGGCCUGUGAAAUUAUAACAAGGUGUGAAACCGGACAGGGUUUCUAGCUCAAGAGAUCUCCUAUACUUGGACAUCUGCUUUUUCAACUCAUUUGUCACUAUCUUAAAAACCGGUCCUGUCAUGUAUCCGUACGCGAAACCAGAAUCUAUCAUGAGACCACCUCGGCCGUCAGAUACUGGAGCCAGAUACUUGCUUGGAAUCCCGAGGAGCGUGUUCCCGAUCUUGAUAUCUUCGACACCCAAGUAGUAGUAAAUCGGGAAGUCAGGAGGGUUCUUGAGAAAGGGAGUAUAGGAAAGUCCUUUGGUUUCGCCAUCACUGUAGUCCAAAAUCAACUUGCUGCUGUUCCGGGUGUCAUCGUAAUCGUGCGAAUUGAGACAGUAAGCAAACUUCUUCACACCCAUCUGCAUUGGCAACGAGAACAUUGUGCGACCGAACCCCGCAAGUGCGUCAGAAGUAGGUACACGAGCAGCGGAUGUUGUACACCCAACAAGAAAUUUAUGAAUGGUUUUCCCGGGAAAGUUGAGGUUUUCUAAUAGAAAAAACCCAAAUGCUGCUCCUGUGCCAUACUGAAGAGUGUAUUGUGGGCAAGCGUGGGAGCAUUUUUUGGAAUUGCCAUUGCAGCGGGGGCACCCGAGGUAAACAUCUGGGGAGGAAGUGUUUGCACAUUUGGGAUCUCUGCACCCCAAGAUCUUAUCAGAUGACGAAAGUUCGGGAUUGAAGAUAGGGACCUUUUUGGGGUUUGAAAAAGAACAGUUAGUGCAUGUGUAGUGAGUUGUGCACGGGGCCCAUACUACAUGACUUCCUGUGUCCACCAGGAAGGAGAGUUUUUGUGGAGGAGUGCCGAAGCUGAGAGGGAUGGUGUGACCCCCAUAACUAUGAGGAAAAAGAGAGGCUUUUACGAGAGGACUGGUCGUACCAUGUUUCAAGUGAUGGGCUCUGGACAAGGAUGCAGAGGCAAGGUGUUGGAGAAAGACCCUGGGUUCCGUGGAUAGUUUGCUUGUAAAUGUUGAGGUUAGAGGGAUGGUAAUGGUGGCAGGUAUGUUAUCAUUGGAGGAGGAUGCCAAGAAAAGGAUAGAGAAGAGAGUAAAAACAGGGAAAAGCAAAGAAGUAGAAGAAGCCAUGACUGUGAAGCUUCAGAAGCGCACACCAGUGAAAGUGGUAGAGAGAGUCGUUUAUAUAGACAAUGACAUGCGUGGUUUAUAUGUAGUUAUUUUAAAAUCCAUUGUCAAUUUUAUAUGGGAAUUUCAAAGUGCCGAGAAACAAAUGGAGAUUUGUAUUAUAAAAAAAUUAUUAAAAAGAUUUUGUUAGUAAAAUAAAUACAAAAAUAUGAUUUUAUUUAUUUAUUUAUUUUUUGCAUUGAAUAUUAUCCUGUCCUACCCAUCUUGCUUUUAUACUAAACCCGUGGAAUUCACUUUUAAUGCUGAAUAAAUUAUUUUUUAUAUUGAAAGUUUAAAAUUUAAUUUAUUUUUUCAAGAAGACAAGUUUCACGUUAUUUUUUAGAUUAUUUGUUAUAGGACUUUUUUCAAAAAUAAUUAUUAUAAUCAUAUAAUAAAUCAGUUUUGGUAGAGGUGAACACAUGUGGUCCCAUAUUUGCAUUGGUGGUGGCCUCUAUCAUGUUGAUAGAGUGACAAAUAUGAUAUAUUUUUAGAUUAAAUGACUCAAAUAUUAGGAAACAUUUUUAGAUUAAAAAACUAAAACUAGAUUAUGUGGUUGAAAUUAUCAAUGUCAAAUGUAAAGUAUGAUCGCUACUUUUGGAAGCAAAUAAUAAGAACCCUUGGUACAAAUUUAUUUGAUAUUUUAGGUCUACACCAUAAUUAUGAAAAUAUAGAUAUUUUUUUAAAUGCAACAUUAUUUAAUAAAAGUGAGAAAUAAAUGGAGAUUUUAAGCCUUGAAAAAUAUUUAUUUAAAGAAAUUCAAAAAAUAAAAUAAAUUUACAAAUUGUGAUUCAAUUUCCACUAUUCAUUGUGUAAUAUUAAAAUUCAAGUGCAAUAAAACUAUUAAUAGGGGGUAGUGAAACCUUUAAGCACUACUACAAAAAUAAUAUAUGAUGUCACUAUUUAUGGUAUCGCAUUUAAAAUAAUGACACCAUUGAACUUAAAAUUUAUAAAGGUGACACAUCAUAUAAAAAAUCUUCAAUUAGGAUAGUUAGAUGAUGCUAAUUUCAGAUUUACGAUGUCAUUUUUUGGAAGUGACACCAUAUGAAAUAAAAAGUUUUAAAUUUUAUAACUCAAUGGGCCCUUUUUAAAAAUAGUGAGUAGGAACAAUUUAUGAAAAGUCCAUUGUUUCCAUAUAUACAUUAACUAAUAUAAAAGAUCUUAUUGCUUAACCCUAACCAUCGUUUUCUUCUCCUUCUUCUCACACCCAUGGUCGGCACACCCAUAAUUAAUAUUCUUUGCUUCGUAAAAUCUCGGGUAAGUCAAAAUCUCUUAUCUACCAUCUUCAUUUUUUUUAUUAAUGCAAAAAACUUUGUUUGUAUAAUUGUUUUAUAUCUCUUGAUUUAGUAUAUCUAUGAUGUGGGUUUUGUAAAUGGUGUUUUUUAUCGAGUUCCAAGGAAGUAAAAACUAGGUUUAACAUUCUAACAUAUUUUUUGUUUCAUUGCUAAUAAGCCCCAAACAAAUGAAAACAAGAAAAAUGAAUUAUUUUUUAAAAUUUUGUCUAAUUGAGAAUGAGAGAUACACUAGUUUGUAGUAAUUUUUCGCAUGAAAUAGUAUUUUAUUGAAGACUUGACUAUAUUUGAUACUUUUUUCCACCGUGCUAGGAGCUUUUUGGUGAAGUCUAACAAUAGAGAUUGACAUCUACUACAAGAUGAUACUCAAUUAAUCUAAAAGCACUUAAGUUAUUUAGGGUUUUCUUCGGUUAACCUAAGAAAACAUUCCCACUUUCUUUGUAUUGAGUCACCUAAAUAGAAUAGAAUAUUGGGUAUCAGAGUCGUAAAGGGUAUUAUAAAUAUGACUCUUUUUUUUUAGAGUCACCUACAUGGAAUGAAUUAUUGGUAGGUGAACAAAAUAUUGGGGUGAUUGUAAUAGUUGAAUUAGUAAAUGGAAGAUAAGUGUAUGUUGCUUUGUUUAUUCUAUAAAAACAAUAAUUUUAGUAGUUGAAAUUUACAUGCUUUGUUGUUUUAUAAAAACAAUAAUUUUAGUAUUUGAAAUUUUAAAAUGUGAAUGAAUGUCUGAAAAUAUGUUUUGAAAAUAGGAUAGUAAUAAUGGAAAAUAACUCAUUUCCUAAAANNNNNNNNNNNNNNNNNNNNNNNNNNNNNNNNNNNNNNNNNNNNNNNNNNNNNNNNNNNNNNNNNNNNNNNNNNNNNNNNNNNNNNNNNNNNNNNNNNNNUAUAUAUAUAUAUAUAUAGAUAUAAAAUAGACUCUUGAUAUUAAUAAAUAAGUGAAUUUUUCUCUAAAAAAAGAAUAAAAUAAGAAUUUCUCUAUAUAAUAAAAUAAUUUAUAUAUGAGAUAGUUUUCAAUAAGAAAGUUUUGAAAAUAAAUUUGGGAUAAAAUAUUUUUUAGUAAGUUUUGUUUAGAUAAUUCAAGAAUAAAGUGGUUUAUUAACUUUUCUUAAAAAAUAACAUUCUUCUUUCUUUUUUGAAUUGAUCAAUUUUUUUAGAAAUAAAAUUGUUAGAUUCUAUUUUUUGUAAAUGUUUAAGAAAUUCUAAAAAAUUCUUUAAAAAUGAAAUGACCUUUCUACCACAUUCCUUGUAAUAAAUAAUUGUUUUUUUUUAUACAUAUUGUAAAGUAAAAAAAAAAAGUCUUUGUUUAGUUAACCUAAGAAGACAUUCCUACUUUUCUUUGUGUCGAGAGUCACCUAAAUGGAAUAAAAUAUUCAAUAUAAUAGGAGAGUAAAAAGUAUUGUAGAAAUGAUUUUGUUGAGAGAGUUAUCUAAAUGGAAUGAGAUAUUGGUAGGUGAAUAAAAUAUUAUGGUGAUUGUAAUAGUUGACUUAGUGAGUGGAGGAGAAGUGUAUGCUUCUUUGUUUAUUCUAUAAAAACAAUAAUUUUAGUAGUUGAAAAUGUGUAUGAAAUGACUGAAAAUAUUUUUUGAAAAAUAAGAAAAUAAUAAAUGGAUAAUAGCUCAUUUCCUAAAAAUCUUUUGAUAAAUUAAAAUAACUUGUAGUUAAAAUAUAUUCUUAUGAAAGUAUUUAAAAAUGAAUCAAUAUAUUAAUAAUUGUUAUUUUGUUUAAAAAUAAUUUAAUAGUAAAAAAAUAAUACUAAAUUCAAAUAUGACUACUUUGUUAUGAGAUUCAUUAAAGAAAUAAUUGUUGAUUUUACAGUUAUUGCAUCAAAGGUUUUACUCGUUUAAUGAAUAGUACAUAAUUUCAUACUUUCAAUUAUUGUGAUAUUAAUGUUAUUCUCAUUUGAUUUCAGUUUGAUGACAAAUAAAACAUAUUCUCAAGUAGAAUUUGAUGAAAUUAGAGAAAAAUAGAUUACUUUUGUGUUAUAACUAAUCAUGAAUCAUAUUGAUGUAUCGUGAUCAUUCAUGAUAAGUCCCUAAGUUGUUAUAUGAUUGAAUUUUCCAUUGAUAUUGUAUAACAUUACUUAUUCUUUACGAACUAUUUUUAUACCAAAAUGAGAAAAAGGAAAAAGAAAAAGAAAACAUUAGUACUUAGAUUUGUUUAUUGUUUAUAACAUCACAUUUUUAUUUUCAAUAAGAACUCUAAAACUCAUUAAACUAUGAAAUGCAGGUAUACACUCUUGGGAGGACAAUAUGAAGAAUAAAAAGAAAGGAGAAAGAGGCAACAAGAUUUAGGUUUUUAGAUAUGACUCUUAUGUCAUACAUUAUAGGACAUAAAUGUUACUUUAUUUGGAAUUGAGAAUUUUGGGUUUUUGGAUGCAACUCUUGUGUCAUUUUAUGGUUAGCCGGUUUUAUGCAUAUGAAAUGCAAGUAUACAUGAAUGUUGGGAAGCUUAACAUUUCUAAAUCAUGUUUUAAUGUGUAUUCACUUUUCUUUUUUAGUUUUGAUGGGUUUGAUGUGUUUGAUGUACUAUCAUUUUGUGAACAUUUGAUAUACAAAUAUUAUUGGAUGAUGUAAUAUGUUACAAAUUAAUUCAUAAGCAUUAUGAAAAUAUAAGUUAAAUGUAAUAUGAUUAUUAUAUUUAUGGACAAUUUACACAGGUUAGUCUUAUUUAUUAAUAAGCAUUACAAAAAUCUACAAACUAAUCAACAAAAAACAACCAUAUCUUCCAUAAUCAUUUACAAUGAUGUGACACCAUAAAUUAAAGGUGAUACAUUUAACGUGACACCAUAACUCAAAGAUGAUGCAUUUAAUAUGACACCUUAUAUAUCUCAUACAACUCUAUAUCAAAUUAAGCAUCACUAAAAAUAUAUGGUGUCUCUUCUGAAUGUGUCACCAUUUAUCUACUUUGGUGUCGCUUCCAAAUACGUCACCAAUUGAUACCCUCUAUGGUGUCAGUGGAUAAGGUGACGCUAUGUUGUAGUGACACCCUAUGUUUAUAGUGACUUAUUAUAAAUGUCACCAUAUAUCUUUUUCCUUGUAGUGAAGUUCCGAAGGAUUAGUUAUGGUUUUAGUAUGAGAUUUGUUUUAAAACUUUUAAUAAAUUUAAUAACAUCCCACUAUGCAUUUAUACUAUUUGUCAAGUAAAUAAGAACUUAUUUUCCUUUGAUUUCAUUUAGUUUUGAUUUUAUCGAUCUUUAUAAUUAUUUUAUCUUUUAUCAAAUAAUUUGUUCACUUUUAUAUGCUUAAGGCCAUAGUUCAGCUCAAGUGAGAAAAAAAAAUCAUUGCUAAUUCUCAAUUAAUUAAUAAUAAUUUUUUUAAUGUAAAUUACCCAUUACAAAUUUAUCACUUUUUUGAUAUUCAUAUUUUAUUUUAUUUUUUUUAAAUCUUUUAUCUAAAUCUAACUAUUAGAUUUUUAUUUUUUUUCUUAACAUUAAAGGAGAGUUGAUGCACCCGUCAAAGUCUUCAUCUAUAAUAGAAGAAAAACGACAAAUAUUUUGUUGUUGAUUGCAAUUCUCAUUAGCUGGACCUGCGUCUUAUACGUUUUUGUAGGUAACAAUGGUUGUCACAACUAGGAAGAGUCGUGGUUGUCUCGGCUAGGAAGAGUUGUGAUUGUCUUUGUUAGGAAGAGACAAUAAAAUCUUUGGUGGAGGUGAAUACAUGUGGUCCAUGUUUGCAUUGGUGGUGGCCUAUAUCAUAUUGGUGGUGCCAUAUAUAAUAUAUUUUUAGAUUAAAUGACCCAAAUAUUGGGUAACAUUUUUAGAUUAAACAACUAAAACUAGAUUAUGUGAUUGAAAUUAUCAAUAUCAAAUGUAAAAUAUGAUUGCUACUUUUGAAAGCAAAUUAUAAGAACCUUUGAAUAGGUACAAAUUUAUUUGAUAUUUUAGGUCUGUGCCAUAAUUAUGAAAAUAUAGAUAUUUUUUGUUUUAAAAAAAUGCAACAUUAAUUAAAAAAAAUGAAAAAUAAAUGGAAAAUUCAAGUCUUGAAAAAUAUUUGUUUAAAGAAAUUCAAAAAAUAAAAUAAAUUUACAAAUUGUUAUUCAACUUUUGAGUAUUCAUUAUAUAAUAUUAAAAUUCAAGUGCAAUAAAACUAUUAAGAGAGGUAGUGAAACCUUUAAGUUCCAAAAUAUUAGUUAUGUUUUUAGUAUAAGAUUUAUUUUUAAACUUUUAAUAAAUUUAAUAACAUCCCACUGUGAAUUUAUACUAUUUGUCAAGUAAAUAAGUACUUAUUUUACUUUGAUUUCAUUUUGAUUUUAUCAAUCUUUAUAAUUAUUUUAACUUUUAUCAAAUAAUUUGUUCACUCUUAUAUGCUUUAGGCCAUAGUUCACCUCAAGUGAGAAAAAAAAAAAUCAUUCCUAAUUCUCAAUUAAUUAAUUAAUAAUAAUUUUUUAAUGUAAAUUACUCUUUACAAAUUUAUCACUUUUUUUAUAUUUAUAUUUUAUUUUUUAAAACCUUUUGUCUAAAUCUAACUAUUAGAUUUUUUUUUCUUAAUGUUAAAGGGGAGUUGAUGCACCAGUCAGAGUCUUCAUCCAUAAUAGAAGAAAAAAGACAAAUAUUUGGUUGUUGAUUGCAAUUCUCAUUAGCUGGAACCACGUCUUAUAUGUUUUUGUAGGUAACUAUGGUUGCUUCGGCUUGGAAGGGUUGUGACUAUCUUUGUUAGGAAGAGACAAUAAAAUCUUUGGUGGAAGUGAAUACAUGUGGUCCUAUGUUUGCAUUGGUAGUGCCCUAUAUCAUAUUGGUGGUGGCCGAUAUGAUAUAUUUUAGUAUUUUAGAUUAAAUGACCCAAAUAUUGGGUAACAUUUUUAAAUUAAACAACUAAAACUAGAUUAUGUUAUUGAAAUUAUCAAUAUCAAAUGUAAAGUAUGAUUGCUACUUUUGGAAGCAAAUUAUAAGAACCCUUAAAUAUGUACAAAUUUAUUUGAUAUUUUUGGUAUGUGCCAUAAUUAUGAAAAUAUAGAUUUUUUUUUUCAGAAAAAUGCAAAUUAAUUAAUACAAAUGAGAAAUAAAUGGAAAAUUUAAGUCUUGAAAAAUAUUUAUUUAAAGAAAUUAAAAAAUAAAAUAAAUUUACAAAUUGUGAUUCAAUUUUUCAAUAUUCAUUAUAUAAUAUUAAAAUGAAAAAUUCUAGAGUACCAAAUUGAUACUAUACCAAAAAAAAAAUUUUCUAGCCGUUGGAUGUCCAAGAUUAGAUCUUGACCAUUCAUUUUAAAUUUGGGGGAAAAAAAACCAAGAUAACCUGUUAAGGAAGUAAUUAGUUCUCUCAUUCUCUCUUCUUCAUUUUGUCUUUUUUGCCUUCGUUGUGACUUCAUUUUGUCCAUUUUUCUUCCACAUGGACUAUAAAUGCACCUAUAUUUUAAAAUAUUAUAAUUUCAUAUUGUUUCAUAUAUAGAGUGGCCUAAUGAUUUUUUUUUUUUCCAACAUAUUGAUGAGAAAGUGCAUAAAAUAUGUAACUACAGUUAAACAAUUAAUAUUUUACUUUCUAUGCUAGCGCUUAUCAUUUCUCAUCUUUUUCCAGAUUUAACACAUGAUUUUAAUUAAUGUCAAUGCUGCAAGCCCUCUUUUUAAAAGAUAUUUACAAAAAAGCUUGGGCAUUGUAGUUUAGAUGGAGAUUGUCAUUAUAUUUAUAUAUGUUACCUGCGAGGUACCUGGAAUCUACACCAUUUUAUGUCCUAAAAAUUUUGUGCCUAAAAAGCUUUAGCAUAUACCAUAUUUGUAUACCAAUUAAAUGUCAUGUCACAUUGCAUAUACAAGAUUUUAUUGAUCCAACUCCGACCCUCCAACUCAUGUAAACAUGGAUAGAUCCAAACCAGUGGACAAGGUAGAAAAUUUUAUUAUGGGGGUAAAAUAGGAAAAUUAUAAAUUAUAAUAAUAUUAGAUAGAAUUCAUAAUUUGAAAUAUUUUAAACUUAUUUUUUAUAUUUUUAAAAUAAUUUUUAUCUAUAAUAUUUUAAUUUUUGAUCAUUCUCUAUAUUUAUAUAAUUAUUUAUUAAAAAAUAAGUAAAAUAUGCUAUCAUAAAUUCCUUAUUUUAUAUUUUUAAAAAUAGAAAAAUAUUUUCUAUUUUUUUUAUUAUCAAAUAUGUUUUCUUUCUUUUUCUUAUUUCUUAAAAACAUAAAAGUAUUUUUGAAAACAACUUCCAAACAUACCAUAUACAUCUCAAACUUUUCAAAUUUUUAUAAAAAGAUAAAUUUGAAAGAGCAUAUACAAAAUUUUUAUUUAAUAUAACCCUAUUUUUUUAUAAUUUCCUUAACACCUAUCAUUGUGGCUUCCAAUUUUAAUCACAAUUGUGAAUUGUAAGAGGCAAUUGAAAUCAAUGUACUCCAUGUACAUUAUGCACUAUUUUAUCCAACAUUAACUUCUAAAAAUAUUUUAUUAAAAUGAUUAAAUAACACCUAUAUUUGGAAAAAUAAAUUUAAUAUAUAUAUAUUUAAAAGUAAUAGGUUGACUCGCCCUUUAUACAAUAGUGUUUGUUGAUUUUUUAAAUCAACCAUGAUGGUGCUUUCAGUCUUUUAGUUAGUUUCCAAAUCAGAAAACACGAGUUAUGUCAGUGUAAAAAUCAUGGUGACCAGGUGAGGAUGUAUGGAGGUACCACUAGUCGAUGGUACUUAGGGAAUGUCUCAUUUCUUUAUUUAGGGUUGGAAUUGACUACAUCCUCCCAGCGUACUUGGUCAACACAUACCUAUUUUUGGUACCAUCAAUAUUCAUUCUUUAAAGUUUGUGUUUUUAAUAACCUUUUAAUAAUCCAAUAACCUAAAUUUUGCAAUGUAGAUGAUAAGCAUAAAUAUAAAAUACUAAAUUCAUAUUUAAGAAGAGUAGUAUUUUAUUUAGACAUGAGAUUGGAAACACGGGCUCCAACAAUACAAUAUUGUACUUAAUAAAAGCCCAGCUAGGCCUCGGCACUACUCUCCCAACUGCCACCAUAUAAUUGCAUUAAUUUCAUUUUGCAUGCACGCACCUUCGUAAUCCACGGAAUAAUGGAUGGUUCCGGGGUGAAUUCCAAAACGUUGUGGCAUCAGCGAUGAUUGGGAAAGAAGCGACUGGGAGCUGGGAGACAAAAUAAUUCUUUCCCGGCACCACCAUAUGUGCUCGAUCCGCUGCUAAAUUGGUAAGUUAAGUCCAGGAUUUUUAUGGAGUUCUCGCUCGUAAAGUUGUAACAGAGUGUCAAACCGGUGGCAGCUUCGAGUUCAAUAACUCUUUUAUACUUGGACAUCUGCUUCUUCAACUCAGCUGCCACAAUAUUAAAAACCGUUCUUGUCAUGUAUCCUAAGCCUGAGUCUAUUAUGAGCUCACCUCUCCGGUCGGAUCCCGGAGCCAGAUACUUUCGUGGAAUCCUCAGGAGUUUGUCGCCGGUCAUGGUAUCUUUGACACCUAUGUAGUAAUAAAUUAACAGGAAAGUCAUCUGGGUUCUUGAGAAAGGGAGCUUAGCUAAGUCCUUUGGUUUCCCCAUCAGGGUAAUCCAAAAUCAAUUCGCCGUGAGAAUUGAGACAGUAAGCGAACUUCUUCACACCCAUCUACACCGACGAGCAAUGAGAAUAGUAUGCGACUGAAUCCCGCAAGUGCCGUUGUUGUACGAAGUAUGUGGAUGAUAUAAUUCUCCAUAACGAUGAUAAUACAAUUCCUAUGAUGUCCAUCUAUUGAUCAUGCAUGUAAUUCUAUUGUUAUUUAAUAAUAUAAUAAUAUUACAUCAUAUAUUUUUAUAUAUGUAUAGACGUAAGCAAAGUAUAUGCAUUACCGAACCGUUCCUCUUAUCAUUUUGUAAUUAAAUGAGUGUCAACAUUCUCACAUCCAUUAUUUUUGUUCUUGAGCAUCUCAUAAAACAUCAUUGUCGGGUAUUGUAUGACCAGAAUUUAAUGCAUAAUAUUUCAAAAAAAAAAAUUAAUUUUUUUUAUAUUAAUUAUUUGUCAUGAUUUAAAAGAAAAGGCCCAAUUGGAAGCACGGGUACGUAAUCAAUAUUUUUACCCAUUUUUAUAGGAUCUAUGUGACUAAUCAAUUUUCUUCAUAAAAAAAACAAGCAUAAAAAAUCUUGUUAAUUUUAGAUAAAAUUAUGCCCCAUACAACUAUCAACCUAAUAAAUCCAUAAAUCAAUUUAUAUCACAUACAAUUCAUUCCUUUCUAUUAAUGCAGAUUGGAUAAUAAUAACUACUAUGACAUUUGAAAGGGCUAAAAGUUUGAUUCACCUCGAUAAAAAAGGACUUUAAAAUUGAACCUCCUUCGAGCAGUUCAUGGAAAAUUCCACACUUGAAAAAGUUUGCAUAAAAAAAAAAAAAAAAGUUACUGCAAGCAUGAGAAAAGCCAUAAAUCAUAAUCCCAAGGCAUAUCAAGUUGCCAUCCUGCUGACAAUGAAAAAGGAAGAAAUAAAUCCAAUCAAGGAAACUUCCUAGAAAAUCAUAUCAGCUACCACUCUACUCUAACAAGUGAAACAAAGGGGGAAAAAAUCAAUUAAGGAAACUUCGUAGAAAAAGCCAACAAGGAAGUUUUCUUGAGUAAGUAUAAAUAAAAGCUAUAAAUAGUAAAUACUUAUGGGAAGGAACAAUCCAAUUGAGGAAACUUCCUAGAAAAAGCCUAAAAGGCAAACAAGGAAUUUUCCCGAGCACAAAUAAAAGUUAUAAAUACUAGAGGGCAAGGGGGUAAAGGGCAAGUCUCUCUUCACUCGUUCAUCCAAGGGCGGAGUCAACAUAUGCUUUGGGAAAUUAGAUAAGUAUUGUGUAUGGACACAAAAUAUAUUUAUAAAAUAUUUGUUUGUUUUCAUUUUUAAUUUAAGUUUAAUAUUUAUAAAAUUAAAUUUAUUUAAAUCCUAAUAUAUAUAUAUAAUAUUCUUCUAAAUAUUUUUUUUAUAUAUAAUUUUGUAUUGAAUACUUUAUUAAAUAUUUUUUGGUGGUAAGUUAUCUUUUAUUUUAUUUUAAGAUUUUAAAGUUUUUUGGACUUUUAGGUUUAAUCAAAUACUCACUAAUUUAUGAAUAAUUAUAUAAUUAUGAUAAUUAUAUCACUCACAACUCUUUUCUCUUAUACCAAUUUUUUAUAAAAUGGAUAUUCCCUCUACCCAUAAUUUUUUCCAUCUAGAGUUUUUUUUACGUAUAUCUAUAUGUUUUUAUUCAAUUUUUUCUAUUGUUUGUUCUCGUUGUUUCGUAACAUAUAUUAUAGAUAACAUUUAAAUAAAAAAUUUAUUACUAUCAAAUGAUUUAUUUUUUAAUUAUUGAAAAAAAAUCAAAGAAAAAUUAUUAGAGAAAUUAUUGAAUUUUUCUAAAAAGUUCUCUAUAACAAAUAUUUCUAAAAAUUAUUAAAAAUAUUUUAGUCAUAUUUAUUACAAUAUUUUUAAGAGUUUUAAAAAAAAUAUUAUUUGAACUUUUUAACGAACUUUUUGUUAAAAUCUAAAACUCUUUAAUAUGUUUGUGAUUUAAUUUGAUAAAUUAUAAUAUUUUCUUUUUUUAUAUAUAGCUAAUGUCAAUAAUUACUUAUUUUAUUGAAUGGAAUAAUGUUGUAGAGUCAUUUAUAAAAUAUGAAAAUUUAUCUAUAUUUAUUAUAAUCAUCGUAUACUAUUUCAUCCCAUCACCAAAAAUUCUAGCUUUGGUUUGGCACUGCAUCCACGACAAACAAAAGUAAUUUAUCUUCUUCAAUGAGAGUAAAAAGGGGUAACUCCCCCCUAAGGUUCCCCUCUAUCAAAUCCAUCUUUGUAUCUACCAAACAAAUUAAUUCUCCCCUCUCUGCCAAAUCCAUCUUUGUAUCCACCAAAGAAAUAAAUUCUCCUCUCUCUACCAAAUCCAUGUUUGUAUCCACCAAACAGAUGAAUUCUCCCCAUUCUAUUUCAACAUCAAAAUGACGUAUGAGUGGCUUUUGGAUGUAAAAUUAAUAGUUACGUAACAUUAGGAUUUUACGAAGUGGAAAUAGACUUCUAGAACAAAUAAAAUUUUAAUUACAGAUAUUAAACAUAUUCGAUAAUUAUAAUUUUUUUUUUUAAAAAAAAAAGAAAAUAUUUUUUUUGCUAAUUAAUUAUAUAAUAAAUAAAAAACUAAUGAUUUCUCAACUAUCUUUAUUAUUUAUAUGCAAGAGACUAAUUUUAUAGAAAAAAGUGAGCUCUCAAGCACACACUUGAAAAUAAUCCAAUAAUAAAAAUACUUUAAAAAUAAAGUUUUAUAUGCUGGAAAAUUAAAAGUAGUAUUUAAAAUUAUUAAAUGUAAUACAUAUAUUAUUAAAAAAAUAGUACCUAUAUAAUUAAUUAAAAAUACAUAAAAUUAUAAUUAUUUUUUAAGUAAAUCACUUAAUUGAAAAAUAUAUAAACUUCUAAUUAUUUUUAAAUAAAUUUUUAUUAAAUUUAAAUUUUCUAAACUCGGAAUUCUUAUUUUAUGAUUUUUUUUAAAGUAUAAAAACACACUUUUUUCAAUUUUUUAUUAGUUUGGUGACCAAGAAUAGGAUUGGGUGGACUCAUGGGUGUAAUUUUUCAUUUUAAAAUUUGUUUAAAAACUCCGAGAAUAAGAGUUCUUUUAUACCUUUAUUUUUUAAAUUUUUGCUAUGAAAUUGCGAAAGUAAAAAAUAUGCCAUUAAACAUGAUUUUAAAAUUUUUAAUUAUAAAAAUAAAAAUACCAUCGAAAGCUCCAUAAUUUGUAUUUACUAAGCUUCUUUUAUUUAGACCGGAGACUGUAAACACAAAGCCUUUCCGGUGCUCCAACAGUACAGGCAUGUCGGUAAUAAAGAGUAGGCAGUAUUCUCCCAACUGCCAUCUUCCUCUUACAUUACUUAACAAUACUGCAGGAUCCUCCUAGGUUCCCAUUAUUUACUAUUUCUUUGCCGCACCCAACUAGACCCAUUGGCAUGGAUGUCAUAGACUAGCAAGUCUGUCGUCGGAACCCAAGACGCUCAUUUUUGAGGUCAUACUCCACAUAAUAAUCCACAUGCUGAGAAUUCCCCAGAAUAAUAGACGGUCCCGGAGUGAAUUCCAUAGUGUUGUUGCCUGCAUCAGUGACCAUGGGUAAACAAGCCACGAGGCUUGUCUCAAGCCUAGACAUUAAUAAAUAAUUCAUUCCUGCGACCACCAUAUUUGCGCCACCUCUAAAUUGGUAAAUUAAGGGGGGGAUUUUUAUGGAUUUGUGGCCUGUGAAAUUAAAACAAGGCGUGAGACCGGACUGGGUUUCUGCCUCGAGAGAUCUCCUAUACUUGGACAUCUGCUUUUUCAGUUCAUUUGUCACUAUCUUAAAAACCGGUCGUGUCAUGUAUCCGUACGCGAAACCAGAAUCUAUCAUGAGACCACCUCGGCCGUCAGAUCCUGGAGCCAGAUACUUGCUUGGAAUCCUGAGGAGCUUGUUUCCGAUCUUGAUAUCUUUGACACCCAAGUAGUAGUAAAACGGGAAGUCAGGAGGGUUCUUGAGAAAGGGAGUGUAGAAAAGUCCUUUGGUUUUGCCAUCACUGUAGUCCAAAACCAACUUGCCGCUGUUCCGGGUGUCAUCGUAGUAGUGAGAAUUGAGACAGUAAGCAAACUUCUUCACACCCAUCUGCAUCGGCAACGAGAACAUUGUGCGACCGAACCCCGCAAAUCCGUCAGAAGUAGGUAGACGAGCAGCGGAUGUUGUACACCCAACAAGAAAUGUAUGAAUUGUUUUCGCGGGAAAAUUGAGGUUUUCUAAUAGAAAAUAUCCAGAUGAUGCUCCUCCGCCAUACUGAAGACGGUACCGUGGGCAAGCGUGAGAGCAAUUUUUGGAAUUGCCAUUGCAGCGGGGGCACCCAAGGUGAACAUCUGGGGAAGAAGUGUUUACACAUUUGGGAUUUCUGCACCCCAGGAUCUUAGAAGACGACGAAAGUUCGGGAUUGAAAAUUGGGGCUUUUUUGGGGCCGGCAUCUGAAAAAGAACAGUUGGUGCAUGUAUAGUGAGUUGUACAAAGAGUCCAUACUACAUGACUUCCUGUGUCCACCAGGAAGGAGAGUUUUUGUGGAGGAGUGCCGAAGCUGAGAGGGAUGGUGUGACCCCCAUAACUAUGAGGAAAAAGAGAGGUUUUUACGAGAGGGUUGGUCUUACCAUGUUUCAAGUGAUGGACUCUAGACAAGGAUGCAGAGGCUGAAAGUUUUAGAAACUGGGUUUCAGAAACUGGGAAAAACCAAUAUUUCUCAUUGUCUAUUAAGAAAAGAUGAUGAGUAUUUUUACACUGACGUUUUCUUAUAUUUAUAUCUACAACAACCUAACUAACUAACUUCCUUCUUCAAGACGUUCUUAACCGGCUUCUGUUUGUUGCAGCUGACCUCAGUUUGUUGCACCUGAUCUCGGUUUGUUGCAGCUGACCCCGGACAGUUACUUUCUUGUUGAUCAGCUAGGUAUCUUCUAUCAUCCCCCCGCAAGCUCACAGGGGAGGGAACAACAGAUAGCUUCGUUCUGAAACUAAGGAACUGGGAGCUUGAAAUAUGUUUAGUGAAAAUGUCAGCAACCUGUUCAGCGGAAGGAAGAUACUGAAUGACGAGCUGUUUACGAAGAACAUGAUCCCGUAUAAAGUGAAGAUCCAUUUCAAUGUGUUUGGUCCUAGCAUGGAACACGGGAUUUGCAGCCAAGUGAGCUGCACUUUUAUUAUCACACCAAAGUAGAGGUGGAGAGGAGGAAGAGAGACAAAGUUCUUGUAGAACAUAUUGAAUCCAAAUCAUCUCUGAAGUAGCAGACGCAAGAGCACGAUACUCAGAUUCUGCACUGCUGCGAGACACAACCUUUUGUUUGUUGGAAGACCAUGACACUAAAUUCGGACCAAGGAAGAUGCCAUAGCCACCGGUGCUUCUUCUGUCAUCUGGACAAGAUGCCCAGUCGGCAUCAGUAUAGCCAUGAAUAUCCAACGAGGUGGACUGCUGCAUCUGAAUGCCAUAGGAUAAAGUGCCUUUGAGAUAUCGUAAAAUCCGUUUCACAGCAAGCCAAUGAGUAGUAGUGGGUGUAGCCAUGAAUUGACAAGCCUUAUUAACAGCAAAAGAAAUGUCUGGUCUGGUAAGGGUAAGAUACUGAAGCGCACCAACCGUGCUGCGAUAUAAGGUGGCAUCCGAGAAAGGUUCACCAUCCAGAUGAGAUAAUGUUUGUCCUAACAGUCCCGGAGUAGUAGCAGGCUUGGAGUCUAACAUGGCUGUGCGAGAUAAGAGGUCUUGUGUGUACUUGUGCUGACUGAGAUGAAACAUAGUACCAGAACUAACUACUUCUAUGCCCAGAAAAUAAUUGACAUAGCCCAGGUCACGAAGAGCAAAAGAAUAAUUCAGCCGAGUAAUAAAUGAGGAAACUUGAGCUGAACUGCUGCCAGUUACUAGUAUGUCGUCUACAUAAAUGAGUAAAAUAAGGACAUCAUGUGUUGAAUGAUGAAUGAACAUCGAACUGUCAGCUCGAGAAGCUUGAAAUCCCCAGCCAAGAAGUGAAGUGCUGAGUUUGUUAUACCAUGCCCGGGGGGCCUGCUUAAGGCCAUAUAAAGCCUUGUUAAGCUUGCAAACAUGAGAAGGAUAUUGAGAAUUGAUAAAGCCCGGGGGUUGUUGCAUAAACACAUGCUCUUCAAGAUCUCCAUGGAGAAAGGCAUUCUGAACAUCAAGUUGGUGAACUGACCAGUUAAAUGAGAGUGCAACUGCAAGUAUAAUGCGGAUAGUAGAAGCCUUGACAACUGGACUAAAAGUCUCAAAAUAAUCGAGACCCAGAGUUUGAGUAAAUCCUUGUGCAACUAACCGGGCCUUAUAGCGAUCAACUGUUCCAUCGGGUUUAUAUUUGAGUUUGUAGACCCAUUUACAACCAAUUAUAUUGCCAUUGGAGGGUGGUGGAACUAGAUGCCACGUGUUGUUUCUUUGGAGAGCAGAAAACUCUUUUUCCAUGGCAAGAACCCAAUUUGAAUCUUUAACAGCCUGUGUGAAUGUAGUAGGUUCAGAGAUGUGAGAUGAGAAGUAGACCUUCUUCUUGCUGAUGCCAUUCUUUGCACGUGUGACCAUGGGAUGCUGAUUAGUAGGGUGAGGUUCAGAAGUGGAGAUGUCAGCAAAAGGAACUUGUAUCAGGUCUGGUAAAGAAAUAGUGGAGGAAGGCAUAUUAGUUAACGGUGGGCUUGAGGUGGAAGGAGUUGUAUGAGAACGUAGUGAGGACACGGGAGGAGAUGAGCAAGGAAGAAAGGCUGGAGUGGGGAUAGUAACUACAGAUGAGGAUUGAUCCGGAGUAGACUGAAAUGGGAAUACCGUUUCAUGAAACACAACAUGCCUAGUAACAUAGAGACGGCCUGUCAAGGGGUUAAGACACAUAUAGCCUUUGUGAUUGGAACUAUAGCCAAGGAAAACGCAUUGACUGGAGCGAUAGGAGAGUUUAUUUUUGUUGUAUGGUCGAAUAUAAGGGUAGCAUAAGCAACCGAAAAUUUUAAAGAUGUGAUAAUUUGGUGAUUUGCCAAAAAGAAUUUGAAAGGGAGAUUGAUAAUUGAGAACCUUAGUAGGUAGCCGAUUUAUAAGGAAAAUAGUUGUAUGAAAUGCAUAUAGCCAAAACUUGAAAGGUAAGGAUGCAGUGGCUAAUAGAGCAAGACCAGUUUCAAUUAUAUGUCGUAAUUUGCGCUCCGCUCGACCAUUCUGUUCAGGUGUGUAUGGACAAGAAAACUGACUUUUAAUACCAUGCGUAGCAAGAUAUGAAGAGAAGGCUUUAAAUUCACCACCAUUAUCAGACCGUAAACAUUGUAUCCGAGAAUUAAACUGAUUUUCAACUAGACUUUUGAACUUUAUGAAUACAGAUAAUGCUUGAUCUUUGCUGUGCAAUGGAUAAAUCCAAGAGAAACGAGAGAAAUCAUCAACAAACAAAAUGAAGUAGCGUGCACCAGUUGUGGACGGAAUGGAAGCAGGGCCCCAAAGAUCAGCAUGAAGUAAAGCUAAAGGAUGAGAAGCUCUAGAAACAGACACAUUGAAAGGCAAUUUAUGACUUUUUGCAAAUUGACAAGCACAACAGACAUUGUUUUUAUGGCAUUGAUGUGAAAUAUUACAAGAGGUAAGAAUGUGUUUCAAGAUAUUAUCAGCAGGGUGUCCAAGCCGAGAAUGCCAAAGUGUAGUUGUGGUUGUUAAAGAAAGAUUGGAAGACCUGUCAUAACUGGAAGAAACAAAAGCUGCAGGUGAAGGCACAAAUCUGGCAGGGAAUCUAUAUAAGCCAUGUUCAAGACUUCCUUGAAGAAGUAUCUUCUUGGUGACCUGAUCCUUGACAAAAAAGAAUCGAGGAUGAAACUCAAAGAAAGUAUUAUUAUCGGCACAAAACUGUGAGACACUAAUGAGAUUAGUAGCAAUAUCAGGAACGUGAAGUACUUGUCUCAGUUGAAAGGUUUUAGAAGAGGAAGGAAAGAAAGUAGUGCCUGUAUGUAAAAUACGAAGGUGCUUACCAUUCCCAACAAUCACCUUGUCAUUACCCAUGUAUGGCUGUACAUCUGAGAGUGGAUCAAUACUUUGUGAUAGGUGAUGUGUAGCACCAGUGUCAAAAAACCAUGCCUCAUCAGAUAUAGUGGAAGGAGAUGCCAUCAUAGCUUGUACUUGAUUCUUGGCAUUUGGUUUAUUGGUUUGAACGGUGUCCAUAUUAGGGUUGUAGCCUUGGAAGUUAAUAUCAAACCUAUGGUAGCAGCGAACGACGGUGUGCCCAAACUUGCCACAAAGCUGGCACUGUGGUCGAUGCUGAGAUGAUUGUGAGCGCCCACCAUUUGUACCUCUUCUUGUGUUGAACCCAGACUGCCUAUUUUGACCAGAGGAUCUUUUAUUGUUAAAAUGUUGAUAUUGUGGUGUAGCAAGAUUAGCAGAGAUGACGUUAUCUUCUGCAACUGAAUUCUGAAAGCUAAGUCGUUGUUCAUGGGUGAGUAAAAUGCUGUGUACAGAGUGGAGAGACAUCUCAUCUUCACGUGCUGUAAGAGAGGCUACUAUGGAGUUGUAGUCUGCCCCAAGACCUCCAAGAAGUUGGAGGAUUUGAUCUCUAUCAGUCACAGGUUCUCCAAUGGCCGCCAAAUUAUCGGCCAAACUCUUUAGUUUAAGAAUGUAUUCCAUCAUUGUCAAUGAACCUUUCCUUGUGGUUUGGAACUCUAGGCGUAGUUGCAUCACCCUAGCCCUUGAAGAAGCCGAAAAGAUUCGUUCUAAAGCAAACCAGGCUGCAUGAGAGGAUUGAUAGCCAACUAUCUGGCCCAUGAUUUCAGGAGUGAGUGAGGAGUAGAUCCAGCUAAGGAUCAUGCGAUCGAAUCGUCGCCACAUAACAAAAUCUGGGUUUGUUUCUCCAGAACUUGUUUUCUGAGGUGGACAAAUUUUCAGACCUUCAAUAUGAUCUUCAAAACCAUUGGCAAAGACAACGUUCUCCAUUUGUGUUCUCCAAAGAAUGUAAUUGUUUCUAUCAAGUUUGAUCGGCAGUGCAUGAUUCAGCAUCUGCAUUGUUUGAGUAGCACCGGUAGAUGAAGGUAGGGUACCAGCUUGUAACCCUGAUGACUGUGUUGAACUCAUCAUGAAUAGAAUAGAGGUUAUCUACAAAGAACUAAAACUGAUAUGAAGAAGAAGAAGUCUUGUAAAAAAAAAAAAUACCAAAGCUCUGAUACCAUGAAAGUUUUAGAAACUGGGUUUCAGAAACUGGGAAAAACCAAUAUUUCUCAUUGUCUAUUAAGAAAAGAUGAUGAGUAUUUUUACACUGACGUUUUCUUAUAUUUAUAUCUACAAUAACCUAACUAACUAACUUCCUUCUUCAAGACGUUCUUAACCGGCUUCUGUUUGUUGCAGCUGACCUCAGUUUGUUGCACCUGAUCUCGGUUUGUUGCAGCUGACCCCGGACAGUUACUUUCUUGUUGAUCAGCUAGGUAUCUUCUAUCAGAGGCAAGGUGUUGGAGAAAGACCAUGGGUUCCGUGGAUAGUUUGCUUGUAAAUGUUGAGGUUAGAGGGAUGGUAAUGGUGGCAGGUAUGUUAUCUUCGGAGGAGGAUGCAAAGAAAAGGAUAGAGAAAACGGUGAAGACAGAGAAAAGCAAAGAAGUAGAAGAAGCCAUGGCUGUGUAGCUUCAGAAGCGCACACUAGUGGAAGUGGUAGAGAGAGUCGUUUAUAUGGACAAUGACAAGCGGUUAGGCAACAUUUAUAAUCCGUGGGCAAUUCAAAGUGCAGAGAAACAGUAAAUGGUUUGGUUUGGUUUUUUUAUUAUUAUUAUUAUUAUUUUUUUAAUAAAAGAUUGUUGAAGAGAUUGUUUGAAAAAUAAAUGUAAAAUUAUGUCAUGUUUAAUAAUUUUACUUUAUAUUACAUAUUUUACUUGUGUGAUAAUUUUAUGGAAUUCACUUUUUAUAUUAAACUCUUCUUUUUAAAGAAAGAUUUUAUUUUUUAUAUUGAAAGUUUUUCAAUCAACCUUAUCUUUCCAAAAAAUGAGUUUAACGUGAUUUUUAAAAUUACUUUUAAUAAAACAUUUUUACAUUUUUUGUUAAAAUAUUAUUAUAAUUAUUCAAAAAGCUCAACAAAUGAACAAUACAACAAUGAAGUGACACUAUUAAGUAUUGGAAGAAUGCAUGCGUAAUUUUUUCAUUAGAAAGAAACAAGAACAUUAAGCGGUUUACACUUUUUCAAAAAUGCUUACGGAGAAGAAAAUGGAAGCUGACCCAAGCCCACCCCUAAAAUUUCAUGGACAAGAUUAAGGAGGGCGUAUAAGUCUUCAAUUAUCAUUUUGGUUUUUGCUUUCAAUACCUUUUUGGCUUUCUUUAAUUAGUUUCGAAUUGGUCCCUAUUCUAUUUUUCCAAUACUUAGAUGCGAAGGUUUAAUACCCUACUCCACCAUUCCCUUGUGAGCUCAAAUAUCCUUUUAUCGGCAAAACGACAGAAUGUAUUUGAUUGACCAAAGAUUCCAUUAUCUCUUCCUUGUGGAGACAACCAUGCUUGCUUGCAAAAGCAUACAUGGCACAAAUCCAUGUGAAUGUCAUCACCAUCGAAAUGUCUUUUUCCUUGGUUUGUUUCUUUCUUUCUUUUUCCUUUUGUUCCGUUUCUUUUUUUCUUCCUUUUAAACGUCAUGUUUUGUAUUUGUGGGUCAUGUCUUGUGUGUGUAGAGACCACAACUCUAAAUCAUGUAGUUUAUUGCUACUUUUGUGGCUAGGUGUAUUUUCUCUCUGUGAGGAGACUCUCGGUCGCUGAGUCAGCUCCUCUCUAACCUUAAGAGUUAGAUUUAGAAAUAAAGAUAUACCAGGAAAAUAAAAUAAAAUAUAAAUAUUAAGAAGUAAAUUUGUAAUGGAUAAUUUUUAUUUUUUAUUUUAAAUUAUUUUUUUAUGGAAACUGAAGAAAAUUUUGUUCAAUUUUAAUUAAAAGAAAUAAAAAUGAUGAAGUGUUUUAAUAAGAAAUAUUGGAUUGUAUCAACAUCUUCGUAUGGUUGACACCAAGCCUCUUGUGGUGAUACCUUACACUCAUGAGUGCCUAUGGCAUGUGGGAUAACAUGCCAUGAACAAAACAAGGUGACAAGCGAGAGUAAGGAAUAUGUUGAUGCAAAUGGAAUGAUGUCAUGAGUUUAGGUAAAUGCUAGAUAAUGGCUUAAGGGUGGUAGUAUGUGAUGUCAUGAGUUUAGUCAUGCAAGCAUAGACAUGUAAGGCACCACGUGGGUGGCUUAACUCAUAAAAAAAAAUCAAGUAUGGGAUUUUUGGAAGUUGAUAUUUUACUUCAAAGAAAAUAACUUGAGAAAAGGUUUUUAUUUCUGUAAUUUUAAAAAAUUCAUUAUGAAAUAACUUGAGAAACACCUAUGAUAUCUUCUCCUCACACAUUGAAAUAACUUAAAUGCUCUUUAGGAAGGGAUGUCUAGCUCAAAGGUAGUGAUGAAGGCACAAGUUAUACAACAUCAAAAGCACAAUAUGAGUCUCAAGCACCAAAAAGGUGUGAUGGUUUUUCUUGUUAGCUCACACACAUAAGUGUAAUGUCAUAAGUAUGGUGCAACAUGUGGGCAUAAUGACACAUGAUUUGGCUAUUGUACACGUUAUAAGCUAUGCAUGCCUUGGAUUGAAGAAUCUAACAAACUUGACAUGUACAGGACAAUGAUGUAAUGGGCAUGGGAUAAAAAAAGAGCUAGUGCACCAAGAAAAUAUUACAAAAGUAUGUAGGCUAAGAGAGGGCUUGGCACAUAUGGGCUACUUACACACAACAAUAGGUUGGAUGACCCUCAUAGGCACGACCAAAUAUAACACUUGCUUUAAGAAAAGGCCAAGCGAGGGCUAACAAUAAGGCAUAACACAUGGAGACACAAGGUUGGGUUGAAGAAACAAUGAUAUGAAGGGGAUAUAAGUAAGUGUAAAGGCGACAUGACAACUAAGUGGGUCGUUGAGCUUACAGGCAGGUGGCAAGAUCAAAAGUCAACAAUGCAUGUAGCAAAACAAAUGACAAAUGACUAAAACCUUUGAAAGAGUCCAUAGGAGAGAUGGCAAUAGUUAAACCAUUUGACUUCAAAUUUGAAGGAGUCUACUUCCUAUAUAAGACGGAGUUGGUUAACCGAUCUCUAUCACGUGGGUAGGGUUUGGAUGCCUAUAAAUACUUAAUAUUUUCAAAAUUAAACUAAUAUACUUUUGUGUCUUAUGUCUUUAAAACUAUAUUUCCACCUUCCUAAAUGAGGUUUUUGCCUAAAAGUCUCACUUUUCCAUAGAAAGUCCCUUUAAAUUUGCUCUAACCUCAAUCUAACCAUUCUUGGCAUGCAGAGUAAAGACAAAAAAUAAAUGGGCAAGCUAGACAAAGUGUUUUGAAUCAACGAGAUUUUCUCUCUUUUAUAAAUGUAUUAUCUCUUCUACAUGGUCAACCUCUUGCAAAACCUCCCUUCUACUCUAUCUUAAGCUAACAUGAACUUAAAUAGAGCACCCAACGACAUCUCUAAGUAAGUCAAAAGAUUUAAAACACCUAAACCAUUAAUUUCUUAUACUUUAAGUUUGAUUUUCAAGAAUUAAGUUAAGAAAUGGUAUAAGUCAAAUUGCCUAUAAAUAUUGCAAAAAAAAAAAAAAAAGGAAAUAUAUAUGUAAAAUUUUCAAACUUGUAAUAUAAUCAAAAAAUAAAAAGAAAUGAAAACAUAUAGCUAAAUAAACUCUAUAAUUAUAGGUAUAUAAUUAAAGUCAAGCAAAAGAAUGAUUUCUAACAAUUAAAUAAAAGAAACAAUAAAGAAUCUUUCAUAUUAUGGAUGAUUUUGAAAGAUUGAAAGAGAAUGAUGAGAAAUCAAGUAUGGCUUAAUGUGAUUAAGAAUGAGUUGAGAGGUCGACAAUUUAUGAGAUUGAAAGAGAAUGUUCAAAAAGAAAAGUACAAAAAAUAAGUUUGAGAAAUUGAAACUUUAAGAUCUUGGGAAAGAAUGUUGAAGACAAAUGUAAAAAAAAAUUAGAAGCAAUAAUAUUUAGAAAACAUUAGACAAUUAAGAAAUAAUGAGUCAAUUAAAAGUGAGAUUAAAAGAUUCAAAAAGAUCGAGAAAAAAUAUAAUUAAGAAAUAAUCAAUGCAAUGAUAUGAAUUGUCAUUUCUUUUAAGAAAAGGAAAUAACAAAGAAGAUUAAAAUAUUUUGAAGACAUCGCAAAUUCUAGAGAAAAAAAAUGAUUAAAAAAAAAAGCAUAUAUGUCAAUUUGAUAAUUUUGUUUUCUUGGUUACAUGUUGAAUAAUGAGGGUGUAAAGUUGAGGGAAGUUGAGGAAAGUUUACAAUAACUUAUUUUUUAAUAGUACAAGCAAAAAAUUAAUACACGUUCAAAAGGAACAUAAAUAGAUCUUAAGGGUAUACCAAGCCGUCAAUCAAAAAGCAACGUUAAACCUCAUUAUAUACAUGCUAGAGAAACACAUAAACACAUGUAAAAAUAAAAUUAUUACAGAAAAACCAACAUCAAUCAAACAUAAGAAUAGAGAGUUAAACGCAAUCAUAAAAAUAACAUUCUUUGGACCAAGUUACUAAAGGUAAUAGAAAUCAAAUAUUGCUAAGGAAAUACGAAAUAUAGGAUAAAAGAAACCAACAAAAGGAUAUCCAAAAAAUCUCAAAGUAAGAGAACAUAAUGAACUCAAUAGCAAGAAAUACUAGCUAAGGGAAAUUCAUGGAACUAGAUUAUGGAGGGCAAUUAUGAAAAUAUGGGAGGAUUUUAAAAGCCAAGUUCACUUUAUUAUAGAAAAUGGGAGGAGAGUAAAGUUUUGGUUGGAUAAGUGGUGUGGUGAUGCUUCGUCGAAAGACUCUUUUCCUUCUUUAUUUAGCAUAAUUAGUUAAAAGAUGUGUGGAUAACAAAUAUGUGGGAGCAAGAUAGGGAUGGAGCACAUUGAAAUCCUUACCUCUCAAGACAAUUCUAUGAUUGGGAGUUAUAAAUGGUGGAAGUUUUUCUAUGAAAACUUCAAAAAAAAAAAAAAAAAAAGUAAUAAGACAGGCUAUAGAAGAUAGGAUGGUAUGGUCGAACUUGAGGAGUGGUAACUUCUCAAUUAAAGCUUUCAACUCUUUUUUAGCACUAGAAGGUUCACAACAUUUUCCAACUAAAGUUAUUUGGAACUCUUAGAUCCCAACGAUAAUGAGUUUUUUUACAUGAGAAAUAACAUGGGGAAGAAUAUUGACAUUAGACAAAUUGAAAAGUAGAGAGGUAUAAAUGUUAUAUGUGUAAAAGAGAAAAAGAAUUCAUUGAUCACAUGCUUCUUCAUUAUGUUUCAAUAGGAAUUCUAAGGCAGUUGGUUUAUUCUAUGUUUGAGAUACAUUAGGUGAUCCACUCUUCAACUAGAUUGAUGUUGCUAGGUUAAAAUAGGUUCUACAUGCUCAUUUGUCUUUUUUUAGAUCUUUUGGCUAAAAAGAAGUUAGAAAGUUUUUGUAAAUAAGGAAGAAUCAAAACAAUCGCACUCAAAUUCUUUUUUGUGUAAUUUUUUAGAAUGUGUUGAGUCAUUGUAUAACAGGUUUUUCUAACUAUAUGAUGGUUUUUAUUGAUUGGUUAGGAUCAAAGUAGGUGUAGGAAUGUGUUGUCUUUUUUUGGCUGCUCUUUGUGCUUGGUGCCCCUAGUAUACUCCCUAUGGUCUUUGGCAAGCCUUAGUUGCAACCUUUUUUGUAUUUUCUUUUUUUAUAUAUUUAUAUAUUUUAUUUAUCAUGUGUUUAUUUUUUAGCUACCGAUUUUCCUUUUUUGGUUGCUCUUUGUGCUUGGUGUCUUUAGUAUACUCCAUGUCCUUUUAUGUUACAUUAAAGACAUCUAGUAAAGGUUAGAAAUGGAAUUUGUCAAUACCUUGUUUUGAGGGUGAUCAAUGAACCUAUAAUAUGUGUAUAAUACAUAUGUGUAUAUAUGGGAACUCGAAUGUGUGUUAUUCUGAAAAAAGGAAAAUUGAGGCACGAUAUAAGAAUUCCCAUUACCCAAUUUCAAACACGAUAAUUCACAAUACAUCUUACAGUUCCAAUAUUAGUGGGAUUAAGUCUUGGUAAAGUUGCCCAUAGUUGUGCCCAGGUUAUAAGAUCAACCACUUGACCCAAUGCUUCAACAAAAGAGACCCUUGCCUAUUACGAACAAAUUAUUUCAAAAAACAAAAUAUAAUGUAAUUAAAAAAAAUGUAAAAAUCUCAGCGUGAAAAUUGAAUGUUUAGAAUGUUUAACCAUAAAGAAAACCCAAUUUUUCAAAAAAAAAAUUCUUAUGUUAUUUAACUAUAGAAGAAUUUUGGAAAAAUAAAAAAACAAAAUAAAUAAUACAAUAUUUCGUGUAACGUGGAUGAUAUAUCACCUAAGCAUGUAGAUAGAGAAAAGCAUGAAAUCCUAACUCGACUUUUCUGGUUUUGUUCCAAUAAUAUGGAUACAAUAUGAAUCUUAUUUUAAAAAGCAAGCAAACAACAAAAAUUUACGUUUAACAUAACAAUAAUACAAAUUAAGAUAAUAACCAAUAGAAUAGUAUGUCUUUAGUGCAACAUUAGAACAACAGGUUUUCUGAAAGGGAAAGGACAAGGAUAAAAGAACAAUGAAAUUUAUUCAAGUAACCUUUAGAUCCUCGAAGUUUCCUAAACUCUCAACAAAAGUUCAAAAGUAGAAUUCAAAAUUGCCUAUGUAAAUGAGAAAUUAAUUUCAGACAAAACGACUAUGUAAAAAUCAUACAAAUCCAAACAUAAAAUAGGAGAACACAUAAAAGCAUAAAAUUGAUUUCACAUCACAUCAGCAUCAAGAAGUGAAGUCAAUGGAAAAUCCAUAUUAUAUUGCCAAGAAGGCUAACACCUACACUUAAAACACUGGAAAAUGCUUAACAUAAGUUACAAGCUCAAGCUCAUUCCUUACUAAAUCAAAAAGAGAAAGAAUAGUGAAUAUAAAGCAUCUCUACAACAAAGUCACCAUGAGAAAAGAUUUGCAAACUCAAAUUAAUUUUUCUUUUUUUUAAUGAAUGAAACAUUAUUUAAAACAAGCCUUGAACUUAGACCCAAAAAGUGAAAAGUAUAUCAACUAAUCAUCUUCUUUUAGUAGAUAAAAUCCUUUUCAACUGCAACAAAAAUAUAAGAUGGGAUGAUGCCAAAACAACAAAUUCUAGCUAAGAAAAAAAUCAUUUCAUGGCUAACCUAAAAAAAGGCAUAGCUACAGUUUGGAAUGUUGGGUGAAAUUGUUCAGCUUGACAACCAGAAUGAAAUGUAGGAAAUAUUUCAUAUAUAUAUAUAUAUAUAGAUAACACGUAUGAUGCUACCUCCUCAGUAAAACUCAAAACAAAUCAAUCAGCAUGGUCAGAAGAACAUCCCAAAGGUAAAGGUAAGUCUGGACUAUGUCAAAACAUUUAAUAGUAGGGAUUUGGAAUGAAAACAUGGAACUAUUGAACUAAAGUUAAACUCUCUAGCCAUCUAGUCCUGUCUAAUUCAAGAUACCAAAACAGAAUGAUUUACAAUAAAUCAAGUGCCAAAACAUUUUUAUAAGCAUAGUAUGCCUAUAACAAUGACAUAAAAGAAUCAACCACAUCAUUAGCAAAGACUGGCCAAUGUGCAACUUUGACAUUUCCAAGUAUAGGCAGGACUUGAGAAAGUAUACCUUUUAGUUGUGAAGUGCAAGGCUUCAUUAGAUUUUAGAGAACAGGAGACACUUUAGUUUAUGGAGAAAACUUUCAUACGACCCAAACACCGUCAUCUGAAUAUAUAUUAUAAAGAAAAAAAAGUUUAAUGAUUAACCAUCAGCAAAAGCAAAAUCUGAAAGAAUUUGAACCAUGGCAGGUAAAGCUUAAUUUGGAUCUAAUAAAUAAAGAAAUAUUUCUUUCAUCAUCUGCCAAAGAAAUAAAAAUAAAAGAAGCAAAAAUCACUAAAUAGAAAACAGAAAUAUUGAACAGCAUAUCCGUCGAAAAAAAGGGGUAGGGAGAGUAAUUUGAAGUCAAAUAUUACACAACAUCAAAAAGAUCAUAUACAUUGUAACAAGAAUGUACAUAUAAAAAAUGAAAUGUUAAAAGAGCCCAUGGUCUCCUCCAUGUACUUUCUUCUAGGGUUUAUUCUCUAUUACACAAAGAAAGUCCUCCAUGCCAUGCAAUCGCACGGAAAGUCCAAACUGUGGGAUGGCAUGAUGCUCAUCUCAAAGCAAGAACUUAUAGAUUUAGAAGCUGGACUCAAUAGCCCACUUAUUCUCAACUAUAUAAUAUUAUAAUGUCCCUUUUGUAUGAAUCACCCAAGAAAUGAAAGCCUUUGUUUAAAAAAACAAGUUCUAUAAUAUGUAAAGAAUAGUUAUAAUGGAAGGAAACAGAGUUCUUCCAAGGGAAUAACUUAGCUCAGUGAUAUGACAAUACAAGUAGAAAACAAGUUAAAAAGGAUAAAGCAAGACUACUUGUGCUCCAAGUCAUGAUGGGUAAUUGUGACCUCCAGUGAGUCCUUACCAAGGAAAAAAGUAAGUGUCAAUCACCUUCAAAUCCAAUGUCUUCUCACAAAAACUGUUUAGCAUAUGAUCUUAUCAAUCUUAGAUUUAUUCAAUCUCCCAUCCAAAACAACAGAAAUCUUGGUACAAAACAAGAAGAGUAGUAAGCUCUAAAGGAUAUCUCUUCACCCAAUUUGGACUGGAAAGGAAAUCCAUAAAUUUUGUCAGUUGAGUGGCAUCCUGGUCAAUUGUGUGGCUCCAGUCAAUGCUUUGGGUUGGUCUCACCUCCUUACCCUUUUUGUUGGAGUAUUUGACUCCUUUUCUUCCAUACACGGCACUUAUAAAUUUUUCAAGUUUUAGAUCAGAAUCACCUAGACAGAGGAGGGUGUGGAGGAGAGAAUGCCAAGAAAGGAGAAGAACCCGUCACAACUAAAACACCUUGUAUUCUAACUAAUCCAAGAAAUUGCAAGUAAAAAUGAAAUAUGAGGUCACUUCCACAGGUUCUCCAAUAAUGAUUCACUAUUAUCUUAGACGAAAGCAAGUAUUUCAACUAAAGUAACAGUUUUCAGUUUCUAAGUGAUUAAGCAAAUCGACAAAACUUACUAGGUCAAGCAAAUAAGAGCCAAUGCAAACAAGUACCUGCUGCAGCCCUUUGCUAGUCUGCAUUGAGUUCCUACAUCAAAGAUGAAAAUAAAAAAAUAUAAUAAUGAUUAGGAGCGAUCCAUGAAAUAUCAAUUUGCAGUAAAGAAGGAAUCAUGAUGAAGGUGUUGUUCAACUUGAUAAAAACAUAAGGCUGUCAUUGCAUUGAGUGUUAUCAGUGUUUUCCAUAUCAAAUAAAAAUUAAUGGUACAGAUCAGUGCAUUACUUGAAAGGCUUGCCCCAGCUGUUGCAGACUUACAGUAAGUUACACGAUUCCAAGUACUAAUAAAACUUAUGUUGGAUUCUCAAAAAAUUUUGGGAAAUAUGAAGAAAAGAAAAUAAAGAGAAAAAGUGAAAGAAAAUAAAAAAAAAAAACUAAAAAAAAAUUAAAUAAAAUAAAUAAAUUAUUUUUAUAUAUUUUUUAAAAUUUAUUUCACUUAUUUUCUUAUAUAAUUCUAAUUAAUUUUAAUUAUAUUUGAUUUUCUUUUAUAUGAAAUUAUACGAAAAAACCAAAUAUAAGAAAACCAUUUCUUUUAAUAUUUUUUUGUUUCCUAUUUUCCAAAACCAAACAUAACCUAAAUUUUAUAGUCAACCCUAGAUAUUGAGUUUCUAUUUUAAUUUCAAAUAAAACGUACACAAAUAAAGGGGGCUAAAAUUCAAAUAUAUCAGCCAUUUUCAACCUCUCAAAACAAUAGCUACGUAACUUAGGGUUUUGAUGCACCUUGGACGAGAUCAUCUCUGCGGUGGCGAUCUUGGCCAGAUUUGCCAUGAAUGUUGGAUCGACGUCUCUCUUUUAUUUGGAAUACCCCAUCGUAUUCCCAAAUGACUGAAACAUUUUCAAAUCAAAAGCCUAAUUAAUAAAACACAUUCUUUGAGAGAGUGUAAUUUAGAUUCCAAAGAAACACCAAAGGUAAAGAGAACAAGUACCCGACGACCUCCUCGAGAUAAGUAGAGCAACAUUCAAGUACCAAAAUAGGGUUUCUGCAAUCGGGAAAACAUUAGAUCCACGAAUCAUUCGACGUAUAUAGAUAUAAACAAAGAGAAAAUGAGGAAAGAAUGGGACAUGGCAACGAUGCCUCUAUAAGUGCAGCCAUGGAGCUUGUCUGAUCAUAUGAGAUUCAUCUGCGAGCUGCAAAACCAAAACCUGCAGGGCCUCUGAAACAAGCAAAAGCGUAAAACAGUAAUAAACCGUUCAAAUCGGAGAAGUAAUCGUAAUUAGAUGGAAUUUACAGAACUGAAAGAAGCCAUUCCGGCUCCAACCAGAUCGUCUGUUCUUGACCGUUGGAGUCGGUGAGGGCGCACACACAUAUAUAUAUAUAGACAUUGGAGCCUUUUUAACCGCCUCCAGCUGGCUCUCUACAUACUUUUUAUUUUUGAAUCCUAUUUGAAAAUUGAAACUCCUUCCCCGCUGGCUACAUACUUUAAUCAAAUUAGAAACCUUCCUUUUGCAAGAUUUGAAUGAUACGUAUAUCUUAUUUGAAUUUUUUAAAAAUGUCUUCCUUUUUCAUGUUAUAUUUAAUAAAUAUUUCCUUUCACUAGCAACUAAACAAGACAUUUUAUUAUAAUAAAUUUGAAUUUUUUUUUUAUUUUAAUUGCUUCUAUUAACCUUUAUAUAUUUUUCGAACAAGAUAUGUUUUAGUCAACAUUGAGUCUAUCAAAUUCAAACCACUCAAAACAAAUACAACUUGUAUUUAUAAGGAUGGGAUAUAUAUGGCAGACUUUAACUUUAGUGUCAUCAUUUUUUGAUUGGUUUUAAUUAAUUAAAACAAGAAAAGGUUUUUUCUCCAAAAUUGGACUAGUCAGAGUAGCUUGUUGAACAAUAUGUCAUUAGACAUGAUUUUAAAAUUUUUAAUUGUAAAAAUAAAUUACCAUCGAAAGCGCCGCAAUUUAUAUUCACUAAGCUUCUUUUAUUUACACCGGAGCAUGUAAACACAAAGCCUUUCCGGUGCUCCAACAGUACAGUCUUGUAGGUAAUAAAGAGUAUGCAGUAUUCUUCCAACUGCCAUCGUUCUCUUGCAUUAUUAGCCAUACUGCAGGGUCCUCCUAGGUUGCCAUUAUUUUGUACUAUUUCUGGGCGGCACACAACUACACCCAUUGGCAUGGAUGUCAUAGACUAGCAAGUCUGUCGUCGGAAGCCAAAACGAUCAUUUUUGAGGUCAUACUCCACAUAAUAAUCCACAUGCUGAGAAUUCCCCAGAAUAAUAGAUGGAUCCGGAGUGAUUUCCAAAGCGUUGGUGCCAUUAGUGUCCAUGAGGAAACAAGCCAAGCUUUCCUGAGGACUUAUCCCAAAAUAAUUCUUUCCUGGCACCACCAUAUUUGCGCCACCUCUAAAUUGGUAAAUUAAAGGGGGGAUUUUUAUGGAUUUGUGGCCUGUGAAAUUAUAACAAGGUGUGAGACCGGUCUGGGUUUCUGCCUCGAGAGAUCUCCUGUACUUGGACAUCUGCUUUUUCAACUCAUUUGUCACUAUCUUAAAAACUGGUCCUGUCAUGUAUCCGGCGCCACCGUAACCAGAAUCUAUUAUGACACCACUUCUGCCGUCAGAUCCUGGAGCCAGAUACUUGCUUGGAAUCCUCAGGAGCUUGUUGCCGAUCUUGAUAUCUUUGACACCCAAGUGGUAAUAAAACGCCGAGGCAGGAGGGCUCUUGAGAAAGGGAGUGUAGCUAAGUCCUUUGGUUUUGCCAUCGCGGUAGUCCAAAAUCAACUUGCCGCUGUUCCGGGUGUCAUCAUAGUCGUGAGAAUUGAGACAGUAAGCAAACUUCUUCACACCCAUCUGUAUCGGCAACGAGAACAUUGAGCGACCGAACCCCGCAAGUGCGUCAGAAGAUAAUUCACGAGCAGCGGAUGUUGUACACCCAAGAAGAAAAUUACGAAUUGUUUUCCGGGGAAAUUUCAGGUUUUCUAAUAGAAAAUACCCGGAUGAUGCUCCUGUGCCAUACUGAGUACUGUAUGGACAAGCGUACGAGCAAUGUUUGGAAUUACCAUUGCAGCGGGGGCACCCAAGGUGAACAUAUGGGAAAUAAGUGCUUACACAUUUGGGGUUUCUGCAGUCUAAGAUCUUAGAAGACGACGAAAGUUUGGGAUCGAAGAUGGGGACCUUUUUGGGGUCGGCAGCUGAAAAAGAACAGUUGGUGCAUGUAUAGUCAGUUGUACACGGGGCCCAUACUACAUCACUUCCUGUGUCCACCAGGAAGGAGAGUUUUUGUGGAGGAGUGCCGAAGCUGAGAGAGAUGGAGUGACCCCCAUAACUAUGAGGAAAAAGAGAGGUUUUCACCGGAGGGUUGGUCUUACCAUGUUUCAAGUGAUGGGCUCUGGACAAGGAUGCAGAGGCAAGGGGUUUGCUUGUAAAUGUUGAGGUUAGAGGGAUGGUAAUGGUGGCAGGUAUGUUAUCUUUGGAGCAGGAUGCCAAGAAAAGGAUAGAGAAGAGAAUAAA